UCGCUUCCUUGAUUCCCUCAUUGAUCAUGCUGAUGACGUUAAGGAGCUGCAGUCCGCCGGGGUACUCCAAAACAAUCUAGGCACUCAUGAAGAAGUGGCUGAAUUUUUCAACACUGUGUCCGCCGACUUGGAAUCAAACUUUCUUGCUUACAAAGAUGUGAGAGUCAAGAUUCGGAACCACCUUAAAAGUCACUAUAACAGCAGACUGAAAAUGUGGAUGACACAAUGCCUGGACACCUACUUCGGUAGCCCCUGGACUAUCAUAGCUUGGGUUGGUGCUGCUUUGGCCCUUUUCUUUACUGCCGUCCAGACUUACCUCUCAGUCUUCCCUCAUUGAUGCAUGCAUGCCCUGUUUUCUCGCUAUCUAUUGAGUGCUUCUGCAUUUUACCUAGCCCAAAUUCAUGGCCUCCAUAUAACCCUUUGAUGGUUGCAAAGUAAAUUAGGCAAAGAGUCAUUGGUCUCGUUUCUUUUCCUUUUUCAGCGUAUUUUCUAUCUUCCUUUCCGUGUGUAAAACAAGUAAAAAAGGAAUGUGUGCUGUGAUCUUAUUUUAGUGUAUUUUGUGCCUAUGUAUGCAUCAGUAAUAUUAUGUUUUAUUUAAGUAACUAAAAAUAGAUAUGGGUGGACUAUUUUUCUAUUUUUGGAUCCCUGUUAAUGUAUUAUGUUAGGUUGGCAAUUUUAUUCAUUGAUGUUUUAGUCGGAUACAACUUAUUUCCUCAAAUCUUAAUGGUUGUGACCGAGUUCAUCAGUUCGAUACGAGGUAAGUGUUUGAAGAAGUAGAUACAGCAAUGAAAACUUAAAAUAUGAAAAACAAAAACAAAAAAGCAAAAGCAAAACAAAGUGAAAGUGGAGAAAAACCUGGCUGGAAUGUACGAAAUUCAACAGAUGCAAGUGUCAUUUAUUCAUUUUUAUUUGAGAAAAAAUAAAAUAUUAAAAAUAUUCUUAGAAAUCUAUUUAUCAAUUUUUUAUUAUAAUUUUUUUCUUGGAUUUCGUACAAAAUAUAUCAAAAGAAUUGAUAUUAGCUUCCAUGAACUUAUCUCAAAUACCAUUUUUGUGGCGAAGAAGCUUCCAACAAGUGGAUCUUUUCUGAAGAAAAUAAAGGGAAGAAGCCGUGGAAUAGAAUAACGGGGAAUGGUAUUUAUGUUAUAUUGAAGGCAAUUAAUGGAUGGAUGUAUUGAUAUGAUUUUUAUCUUCUUGGUUGAUUGUGUAAAUAGAAUGAUUGUCUAGAGAAUUUAUUAGGUGGAAGUAAAUAUGAAUUCUCUUCAUCUCAAAGGGAGUAGUAUUUUUUGGUGAAAAAGAGUUUAGUAAUUUAAUCAUUUUACAAAAAAAACAUUUUAUUUUUCUUUUUUAUUUUUAAGAUGAUAUUAGAAAGUUUGAAUGUAAUGUUUUACAUUGGAUAUAUGAGAAAAUUGGGUAUCAAUCCCUUACUCCGGUAUGGGAGUUUGUUUGGUUCUAUAAAGGGUAUUUAUUUGUUUCGUCCAACAAUCUCAUAGGAUACAACAAAGACAUUAUAUUUAUAUGAGGAAUGUUUGUAAUGUUUCACAAUGAAUAAAAGAGAAAGUUCCUAAGAUUAUAUAUGUAUGAGUUUCUUUUAAUUUUGUAAACGUGUUUUAGAGUCUUAAAUGUCUUAUUGGACACAGAGCAAAUAAUAUUUAUAUGGUUAGAUACAAGUCAUCACAAAUGGUUUAAAAGCUAAUCAUUUUUCUUGGUGUGGGAGUUUGUUUAGUCCUAUGAAGCAUUUUUGUCUAUUUGACCAUAUAAUCUCAUGAGACAUGUGGUUAUGUCCCAUAAACAAAAAUUUGAAGUGAAAGAAAUGAUCUCUUGAAAAAUAUUUAAGACACUUUAAAUAUAUAUAUAUGACAAUCUCGUUGUAAUCAAAAGUCAAUUUCAAACCAAGACAAAAUUUGUCGAUUUGUUCAUGGUUUAAGAUAAAGGUAUGAAUUUUUUUUUUCACCUACUAUACUUUUCUAGCCAAUUUAUAGUAGCUUUUCAAAGACAUAAGCAAUCACUCACUACCAAAAAAAAAAAAAAAAGAAAAUGUUCUUAAAGCAUGCAUAAUUUUUUAUUUGGACGACAUUGUAAUGAUCAAAAUGGUUGAGAAAACAAAAUUUUCAAUUUGAUGGGAAGGGGUUUCAUCCUUUUUAUGUGUUACAAUUCUUAAAAAAUAAAAAAUAAAAAAUACUUUCGUGUUUUUAUGAAGUCCUUGUCAAAGGAUGUCUUUAUCAUGUUUUAAGACAAGUUGGGACUAUAGACAGUUAUUGGCAUUGGCCAAAUAACCAAGAAUUCUUGAUACUUGUCCCAUACAAGUAUAGUUUUCUAAGUUGGGUUGAUUUUUGUAAACCACAACUCUUCAACCCAGUAAAUGGCGUUAAAUAUAAUGUUUGGAGGUUGGUCAUCUUAUGAAGACCCAAAUCACCACCAAAGCAACUCUCCAUUUUCGGUUGGCUUAAGAUCUUACUGUCAGGAAUGUAUAGAUGUUUCAAUUGGUACAACUUCCAAAUUGAACAUGGAAUCACGGAAGAACUAUGGCGUACCUCUAGAAUCUAUAGGUUAAAGAGUUUGCCUAUAGACCAUGAAAAACUUUUAGUAGAACGUGCACUCUCGACAGAAAAAUAUUUGUAGAUCUUUUCUGACUUCAAGUAGUGUUAGGUCUAACACUGUUAGCAAUUUUGUUCUUAAGCAAGGUAUCAAAUUUACUUGAGAAAGAUCAAUAGAACAAAUCAAAGAUCGGAGGAGGCGGCAGGUAUGCAAAUGUUUGAGAAAUAUUUUUUAAGUCAUGAGCAAUAAGUCGACGAGGGUUAAAAGGGCAUGCAAGGAUGAUGUUUCGGUGUACCUCAAAUUUUUUUGAAUCUUUGGCUUUUGAAAUAGCAAGGUCGCGAAGGAGAUCAUGGAUACGACAAGACUUUACUCUUCCAUCCCAUUUUCUUCUGGCCACCUGAAUCAUGCUUCUAUGAAUCAACUCUUCUAAAUAAUCCUCAGCAACGUCUUCCACCAUUUCUUCACCCCUUUGUACAAAUCCCUCCGUAAUCCACAUUUGGAGCAAUUUGUUUGCCUUAAUUUCACAAUCUUCCGGAAAAAUACCACAAUAGAGAAAACAAGACCUCAAGAAAUAAGGCAAGUCACUAUAGCUCAAAGCAACAAUUCCCAAGCAUGAGUUGGGGCCUUGACUUAGAUUUCCACUCCAUGCUUUUUAGUAUUUUCUCCCACGAAGAUUUAGACUUCUCUUUUCUUGAUAGAAGCCCUCCUGAUACCACAAUGGCUAGAGGUAAGCCUUUGCAUUUCUUUAUAAUCUCAUUUCCCAUACCUUCAAACUCUACAAGACAAACAACUGGUGAUGUACUUGCAGUUGGAAAAGUUUUCUUGAGAAAGGGCAUCCAACUCUCUUCUGGACAUAAAGGACGGAGUUCAUAGAGCUGUGCAUGGGCAUCCGAAGCAAUUUGUUGGUUAUGUGUGGUGAUGAGCACUCUGCUCUUGUUUGACUUAUGCUAAACUUGGAUGCUCUAUACAUCAUCCAACACUAUCAAAUACCUUUUAUCUUUGAGGUAACCAUUAACCUCUUUCCCCAAUUGAUCCUCAACCAUUUUAUAUUACCUUUAAAAAUUAUUUAAAAUAGCCUUAUGUCACGGACUUAGUCUUUUCCUAAUUAAGCUUGUGCGGCACUUAGACAAACUAAGACCCUUGAUCUUGCUAAGUCAGUCUUACUCUCAAUGCUUAGCUUGCUAGGCUAAGACGCUCACUACUCGGAAGUUUUAGAAGGUAUAGUAGGCAACUCUUAUAGAAUGAAAGCUUUAUUGCUUUCAAAUGAAGCUAUACAAUGCUUAGAAGCUCACUUGCUUGGUUAGGAAGUGAUAUUGAAGCUUUAUUACUUUACUGCCGUCUAGACUUACUUCUCAGCCUUCUCUCAUUGAUGCAUGCAUUCCCUGCUUUCUUGCUAUCUAUCGAGUGCUUCUGCAUUUUACCUAGCCUAAAUUCAUGGACUCCACAUGACCCUUUGAUGUGCAUAGUAAAUUAGGCAAAGAGUCAUUCGUUCCGUUUCUUUUCCAUCUCAGCAGAAUGAAUGGGUGCUGUGAUCUUAUUUUGGUGUAUUUUGUGGUUAUGUACGCAUAGGUAGUAUUAUGUUUGAUUUAAGUAACUAAAAAUAGGCAUGGGUGGACUAUGUUUUCUAUGUUUGGAUCCCUAUGAAUGUAUUGUAUUAGGUUGGCAAUUUUUUUUUAUUGAUGUUUUACUCCAUGCAACUUAUUUCCUCGGAUCUUAAUGGUUGUGAUUGAAUUAAAAUUACUAUGAGGUAAGGGUUUGAAGGAGCAAGAUAAAGUAUGAAAACUUCCAAAAAAAAAAAAGAGAAACAGAACAAUGUGAAAAAUGGAGAAAAACCUGACAGGAAUGCAGGAAAUUUAAUAGAUGAAAGUUAUUUAUUCAUUUUUAAUUGAGAAAAAUAGAAUAUUAUUAUUAUUAUUAUUAGAAAAUUAUUUAUCAAUUUUCUAUUAAAAAAUUUUCUUGGAUUUCACAGAAAAUAUAAUAAAUAAAUUGACAUUAGCUUCCAUGAACUUAUCUCAAAUCCCAUUUUUUUGUGACAGAAGCUUCUGAGGACAGGAUUUUUUUUCUCAGGAAAAAUGGGUGGAACAAGGUGGAAGGUGUGGAAUAGAAGAAUGGAGAAUGGUAUGGAUGUAUUGAUAUGAUUUUAAUCCUCUUGGUAGAUUGUGUAAAUCAGAUGAAUGCGUCAGAGAAUUUCUUGAAUAAGGGUGUAGUAAUUUUCGGUAAUGAAGAGUUCAGUAAUUUGUUGAAUUGUUUUUAAAAUAUUUUCUUUUUCUUUCCAGUUUUUAAGAUGAUAUUGGAAGGUUUGACUCAGUAAUAUUAGGUUUAUAUGUGUUCAGAAUAUGUGCAGGGUUUACAACUUAUAUAAUUUUUGGCAAAUAUUUGUCACAACAGUAAUUAUGAAACUUUUAAGAUGAAUUUAGAAGUGAAAAGUGUUUUAAAAAGUGGAAAAAUCUCCGUAAAAAAGAUUGUGUUAUCUAGCAUGAUUUUUUUUUUCUUUGCUUUUCUUUGCUUUUGUUGCAACUCUUCUAUUUCCAACCUUUUCUUAGGACCAAAAUACUAAUAGUUUCUAUUAAGCAAAAUAAUAAAACAUGACACAAGAUGUACAAUGAUAGGACACAUAAUGAUAAGAAUCCACUUUCAUUAAUAUUUAUAUAAAUAAAAAAUAAUCAAAUAUUAAUUUUAUUUGAUUCUCCUAAUUUAGAAAAUAAUAUUUAUUUUAGAUAAAUCAAGAGCAGCUAAGAAUAUUUUAUCUUCUUAAUUUAGGAAAUAAUAUUUAUUUCCUUAAUGUUAAGAUAUUUAUUUCUUUCUAUGAUACACAAUGCAUCUUUGUAUAAAUUUCUGAAAAAAACAAUAAAACAAUUGUUUUCAUUAUGAAGAAGCUCAAACUUGAGUCUUCUCCAAGAGUGGUUGAAUGUUCUAGAAAGAAUGUCAUAAAAGGCUUGAUGUAUCCUCGUAAAUCAUAUCUUCCUCUUUAAAAAAAAAAAAAAAAAAAAGCCUUAAUGUUCCCAUCUUCCAUUAAUAUUCUUUCUAGUUUGAUUUCAAUCAAGCUAAACAACACAAAUUUUCUACCAUGGUGAAAUCAAAUCAUCCUCUUUCAUGACUUCAAUGUUUUAGCCUUUCAUGUAUGUUCUACGCUUUCAUUAGAGUUAUUUCUGGCUUGAUUUCAAUCAAGUUAAACACCACAAAUUUUCAAUUUUUGUCAUCUUCUUAAUUUGUGGUGUAAGUGUUCUCCAACAUUUCUUACCUCUUGAAAAAAUUAAAUAUUAUAAGGAAAGCAAUGUUCUAUCUUACAAUACUAGUUAUUGAUCAAUGAUAAAUUCAUCACUUCAUGAAUUUGAAUCAUAAAAGAGCAUAUUUUAAGUAUAAUCUUUGGUGUUAACAUGGUGUAUGAGAUAUGAACUUUUAAAGAGAAAUUGCUUCUUAUUAUAAUUGACAAUCACGUCAUAAUCAAAAGCCAAUUUCAAAUCAAGACAAAGUUUGUGAAUCUGUUCAUGGUUUAGGAUAAAGGUCUGAAAUAUUUUUCACCUACUAUGCUUUUCUAGCCUAUUCAUGGUAGCUUUUUAAGAAUACAUGCAAUCAUUCACUACCAAAAGGGAGGGAGAAAACAUUCUUAGAGCAUGCACACAUUUUUAUUUGAACGAUAUAGUCAUAAUUAAAAUGGUUGAGAAGACAAAAUUUUCAAUGUUAGGAAAGAGGCUUCACACUUUUUGUGUGUUAUAUUUCUCACAAAAAAAAUUCUUUCAUGUUUUGAUCAAAUCUCCAUAAAAAAUGAUGUCUUCACCAUGUUUAAGAGUAUAUUGGGUCAAAUAUACUUUACCUUCUUAAGUAAUCAUGUGCUUUACAUUUUGUUCCCUCGUUUAAAAUUCAACAAUUUGUCUUCCAAACUUCUUAAAAACCAACAUUACACCUUUUUUGUUGAAUGAUGUUACAUUAAUAAAACGAAAAAUGUAAGUGCCUUGCAUGUGACCUAAUAAGUAGAGGUAAAAUUGUCAUUUGAAAUACUCAAAGCCUUAAAAUCUCGUCAAUCUUUGUUUUUCCUUCCUCCAAACUCUUCAAUCUUCGAUUUUCUUUCUCCAAAGCCCUAAAAUUCAAUCAUCAAAGGGUUGAGAGUUUGAUUUAAAAUAUGGAUUUCAAUGAUAGUUUUUUUUUUUAUAAACCCCUACACUGUUUUGCUUCAAUUUUGUCUUUGAUAGCUAAGAAAAUUUCAAGAAGAGAAUAAAUUUUGAGUGAUGAGGUGUUUAUAAGGGUUAGGGUUUUCUUUUGAUAGUUGAAAAAUUUUUGGACAUCAUCAAUUUUUUUUUUCAGACUUAUAAAAUAUAUAAUAAAUAUUUUUUAAAUAGCUUAACAAAUAUUUUUUUUGUUUUUUACUUACAAAAUAAUAAAUAUGCCGUACAUUAUUUGUCCUAUAUAUUAAAUAAUUUUUAAAUACCUCAUAAAAUAUUAUUAUUAUUAUUAUUAUUUUAACUUACAAAUUAGACUCAUAGUGUUUAUUAUUUGUCAUAUUAUUUUGAAAAUAAUGUAAACAAUCACAUGCACUUUAAGAUAUUCAAAAUUUCUCUAUUCCAAAAUUAUCUAACUGUUCAUCACACUAAUUCUAAAUAUUUUAAAAUAAAGAUUUUAUACUGUUUUGGUUUUGGAGAGUUUAUUUUAUAUGUUGUAUAUAUUUUAUAUAUUUUUUUUUUGUUGGGUAUAUAUAGAAUUGAACAUUUGAUAGUUUAAAAUUUUUGUUUUAAUAAAAGAAAUCGUUAAAUAAACAUGUUUUAAUAAAAUAAUAUUUCUAAAACAUUUUUCUUAAUAAAAGAAAGUUUUUUAUUAAUAAAAAUAAAAAAAAACGCUUUUAAGAAAAUCCAAAAAAAAAAAUUGUUUGUAAUGAAAUUUGAAAAAUUAUUUUUAAUAAUAAUUAUCAAAAAAAUUAUUUAUUUAAUAAAAAUUGUUCAAAAAAAUUAGUUUUUAAAUAAGAUUUUCCAAAAGAUUAUAUUUCAUAAAAAAUCGUACAAUUUUUUUUUUUUUUUACAAAUAAAUUCUAUUUCCUUACUUAUAAUAGGAUUAAAAGUAAUUUUUGUAAAUUACAAAUUUCAAAAUUUUGAACCGCCCUUUUAGAUUUCAAAAUUUGAAAUGAUUUACGCCGCUGUCCGCAACUUGCAAUUUCAAAAAUUUGAAAUUGUUUACUUUGCUUGGGUGCUCGUCCCUUCAAAUUUCAAAUUUGAACGUUUGCCCGCCUUUCAGCUUUCAAAAUUUCUCGCCCAUCAAAUUUCAACUUAGGGGUGCCCGCCUGCUUGCCCUUCAUUUCAUAAUUCCAUAAACAAUUGUCCUCAUCUUGGCUGUCCUUUCGUUGGUUUUUUUUGGAAGACACGGGGGAGAAGGUAGAGACAAAGGUUGACAGAGUAAGUGUAACGACCCGCACCCAACCAUGUAGAUAUUGUCCGCUUUGGGCCCAAGGGGGCCCUCACGGCUUUAAAACGCGUCUACUUGUUUAAGAAGAGUCUCUACAUAUAUAGCGUCAGGAACUUCCUCCCCUAUCCGAUGUGGGACAUCACAAAUACCCCCCCCCCCNNNNNNNNNNNNNNNNNNNNNNNNNNNNNNNNNNNNNNNNNNNNNNNNNNNNNNNNNNNNNNNNNNNNNNNNNNNNNNNNNNNNNNNNNNNNNNNNNNNNUUUUUUUGGAAAGACCCGGGGGGAAAGGGAGAAAAAAGGGUUAACAGAGUAAGGGUAACCCCCCCCCCCCCCCCAUGUGUUUUUUUUCCGCUUGGGGCCCAAGGGGGCCCCCCCGGUUUAAAAAGGGGUUUACUUUUUUAAAAGGGGUUCUUAAAUAUAAGGGGUCGGGAACUCCCCCCCCUUUUCGGAGGGGGGACUCCAAAAAUCCCCCCCCCCCCCCCCCCCCAUGCAGACACAACGUCCUCGUUGUGUCCCAUGGGAUUGUGGGGCCAAACAGACAAAGCCAAACAAACUCCCACACCGGGGUCAGGGAUCGGCUCUGAUACCACUCUGUCACGCCCAAGACCCACUCCAAGGGCAUGACGGUCAUUUCACACCUCAAACCCGAAGGCUUAAAGUAUAAUCUGACCCAAACAAUCAUAUUGUAACUGGAUGUUACCAAUUACCAAAUACCUGUUCAGAGUAGCAGAACAAAAUCUAAAAUCCUCAAAAUUCAAUUUCCAAAUAACUUCCAAAUAUCAAAUGAUCCAAAUGAACAUAACUAACAGUUAAACAAAAUCCAACAUAAAAUCUUAAGUCAANNNNNNNNNNNNNNNNNNNNNNNNNNNNNNNNNNNNNNNNNNNNNNNNNNNNNNNNNNNNNNNNNNNNNNNNNNNNNNNNNNNNNNNNNNNNNNNNNNNNACCCAACCAUGUAGAUAUUGUCCGCUUUGGGCCCAAGGGGGCCCUCACGGCUUUAAAACGCGUCUACUUGUUUAAGAAGAGUCUCUACAUAUAUAGCGUCAGGAACUUCCUCCCCUAUCCGAUGUGGGACAUCACAAAUACCCCCCCCCCCCCCCCCCCAUGCAGACACAACGUCCUCGUUGUGUCCCAUGGGAUUGUGGGGCCAAACAGACAAAGCCAAACAAACUCCCACACCGGGGUCAGGGAUCGGCUCUGAUACCACUCUGUCACGCCCAAGACCCACUCCAAGGGCAUGACGGUCAUUUCACACCUCAAACCCGAAGGCUUAAAGUAUAAUCUGACCCAAACAAUCAUAUUGUAACUGGAUGUUACCAAUUACCAAAUACCUGUUCAGAGUAGCAGAACAAAAUCUAAAAUCCUCAAAAUUCAAUUUCCAAAUAACUUCCAAAUAUCAAAUGAUCCAAAUGAACAUAACUAACAGUUAAACAAAAUCCAACAUAAAAUCUUAAGUCAAAUCCUAAUGAUGACCAUUCCUCAGCCUAGCCAUCACUCCUCACCCGAACUAAGAGUACCUGAAGAAUUUUCAACAAUUGGGAAUGAGCUCACAGCCUAAUAAGGAAUAUUAAUGCAGUUCAUGAAUCAAAUAUUUUCAUUUUAAAUAGGAGAUAUCAUUUUUUUUUUUUCAUCAAAUAUUAGAGUUUCAAAAAUACCAAUAUAUUCAAAAUUCAACCAACCAUUUUCAUAUCAAAUUCAAACACUUUCACAUAAGAUUCAAUCAAAUCCAUUCAAUUUUCAUUACUCUGGUUAUCAAAUAUCAAAUGCCCAAUUAGGUGGGACUUUUCAAAUGGGUGGCUAGCUUCAAAUUGUUCCUGGUGGACGGAACUAAACACUACUAGUACUAGUAACCUCUAACCAAACCCCUAGAGGCUGGGGUCCAAAUCAAUUACAUUCCCACCAUGAAAUGUAAAGGUCAACUAUUAUAUCCCGUUGACAGGGCCGAAUAGUCAACUAUUAUAUCCCGUUGACAAGGGCCAAAUAAACCAGAGUGAUGGUUUUGUUCAAGUAUUCAAAUUUACACAACAUAAUAUCUCCAUAUUUUGUGUCAUAAAUGAAACAAAAUAUUCCAACAUAACAUUUAGUGCAAAACAAUUUGAUCCAUGCAUGAUAACAAAAUAUCAUUUUCUUUUCCACAAUUCAAAAUAACGUAUAAAAUAAUUUAAUUUUAUAAAUAUUACAUUAACUUCCUUUACCUUAAAAGAAAUCCUCCAAAAACUUUGGAGAAAAAUAAUCCUGAAAAUCUACUCUUCACCUAACAAAACAUAAGAGAAACAAUUAUUACUAUUUAUUUAUAAUUUAACUAAUCUAUUCCUUAUUUAAAUAAACUAAUAAAUUCCCAAUUUAUUUCUAAUAACACAUUACUAAUUUAAUUAAAUUAUAAUUUUAUUUCAUUAUAAAAUUCUAUAUAUAUAUAUAUAUAUAUAUAUAUAUAUUUUGCUAAAUCUAUUAUUACUAUUAUCUUAAUUAUAAAUCUAAAACUAAAUAUUAUUAUUUUAAUUAACCAAUUCCAAAGCCACUCAACCUAUCUCGGGUACACCAAACCAAAAAGCAAGUUUUUUUUUUUUUUUCAUUGCCAUCAUGAUCCAUUAUAUAUAUAUAUAUAUAAAAGGGCUUCCUGGCGCACGCCUUUUUUUUUUUGUUCCAUGCUUCCAAUAACACAGUACACGUAUGCCCUUUUUUGUUUUUUUUUUUUUUUUAAUAAAAUUAACCCUAACCUAAAAUCGAAACCUUCCAAGAAAAUUUUUUUUUUCAUCUAAUAAAACUUAAGAUCUCCCAAAUUCAAAUACUAAAAUCAAAAUAUUAAAUUUUCACUAUUUGAUAUUAAAACGAAUUAAAAAAAAAUAAUCUAACCCUAAUCUAAAUUUGGGGUUUUCCAAAAAAAAAAUAUCUAAUAUGCUUGAAAUUAACUAAUGACUCUAAAAUAAUAAUCUAGGGGUUAGAAACUUACCUAUAGAGGUUUGUUCUUCAAACCUUAAAAUCUGACCUCAACUUCACGUUCUCUGGAAACUCUCUGCGAACAGGAAUACAAUUCAAAAAAGAACAGGAAGAAGAGAAUUUUCUAUUUAUACCUAGGGUAUUAAUCGUAAGGAGUGUUUGUCUGUUUGACCCCGCAAUCUCAUGGGACACAACGAGGACGUUGUGUCUGCAUGGGGGGUAUUUGUGAUGUCCCACAUCGGAUAGGGGAGGAAGUUCCUGACGCUAUAUAUGUAGAGACUCUUCUUAACCAAGUAGACGCGUUUUAAAGCCGUGAGGGCCCCCUUAGGCCCAAAGCGGACAAUAUCUACAUGGUUGGGUACGGGUCGUUACAAAUGGUAUCAGAGCUGAUCCCCAACCCCGGUGUGGGGGUUUGUUUGGCUUUGUCUGUUUGGCCCCGCAAUCCCAUGGGACAUAACGAGGACGUUGUGUCUCCAUGGGGCGGGGCGGGGGGGGGGGGGGGGGGGGGGGGGGUUUUUUUAUUCCCCCCCCCGAAAGGGGGGAAAGUUUUGGGGGGUUUUUUUUUUAAAACCCCCCUUUACCAAAAAAAACCCUUUUUAAACGGGGGGGGGCCCCUUGGGCCCAAAAGGAAAAAAAAUUAAAUGGGGGGGGGGGGGGGGUUUCCAAAAGGGGGGGAAAAAAGGACCCCAAAAAGGGGGGGAAAAGGGGGCUUUUUUUUGGAAAAAUUUUCCCCGGGUUUUUUUUUUUCCCCCCCCUUUUUAAAAAAUUUUUCCCCCCCUUUUUUUUUUUUUUUUUUUUUUUUUUAAAAAAAAAUUUUUUGGGGCUAACCGUUUUUUUUUUUUUGGUGCGGGGGAAAAAAAAAAAAAAAAAAAAAAAAAAAUUUUGUAUUUUUUGGGGGGGGGGGCCCCCCCUCAAAAGGGGGUUCUUUAAAAAAAUACCCCCCCCGGGGGCCCCUUUUUUGGGGGUUUUUUUNNNNNNNNNNNNNNNNNNNNNNNNNNNNNNNNNNNNNNNNNNNNNNNNNNNNNNNNNNNNNNNNNNNNNNNNNNNNNNNNNNNNNNNNNNNNNNNNNNNNAAAAAAAUAAAUCUACCCGUAAUCUAAAUGAGGGGGUUUCCCCAAAAAAAAAAUAUUUAUUAUGCGGGAAAAUUAAAUAAAGACUCUAAAAUAAUAAAUCUAGGGGUUAGAAAUUUACUUAUAGAGGUUUGUUUUUCAAAACAUUAAAAUAAGACCUCAAUUUCACUUUUUCUGGAAACUCUCUGCGAACAGGAAUACAAUUCAAAAAAGAACAGGAAGAAGAGAAUUUUCUAUUUAUACAUAGGGUAUUAAUCGUAAGGAGUGUUUUUCUGUUUGACCCCGCAAUCUCAUGGGACACAACGAGGACGGGGGGGGGGGGGGGGGGGUGUUUGUGAUAUCCCACAUCGGAUAGGGGAGCAAGUUCCUGGCGCUAUAUAUGUAGAGACUCCUCUUAACCAAGUAGACGCGUUUUAAAGCCGUGAGGGCCCCCUUGGGCCCAAAGCGGACAAUAUCUACAUGGUUGGGUGCGGGUCGUUACAGUAAGGGGGAGAAACAAGGAACCAGAGGAAGGAAGCAGAAGGCUAGCUUAUUCGGUAUACAUUUCCUCUGGUUCUUUUGUUCUCUCCCUCUGUUUAAUAUAAUUCUUACCUCAAUUUAAUUUAAUUCUUAUUGAUUUCUAUAAAUAUAUAUUUUAGGUCUAUACAGUUUCAUUUUUAUUGGUUCAUGUAAAUAUAUAUAUAUAUAUAUAUAUAUAUAUUGUAUAUUUUGUUGAGGUUGCCUGCCCUUCAUAUGAGGGUUCCGUUAACAAUUAUCCGCGUCCUGGACGUCCUUUGGUUGGUGUUUUUUUGGGAGACCGGGGCGGACCAGGAACGGAGAAAGAUUUACACAGUAAGAGAUAGAAACAGGAAAUCGGAGAAAGAAAGCAAUAGAGUAGGUUCAGUGCACAUUUUAUUUCUCUCAUCUAUCUCAUCUAAUUCUUAUUGAUUUCUAUAAACAUAUUUUUUUUAUAUAUAUUUUUAUUAGGUUUGUAUAGUUUCAAUUUGUUAGGUCUUGCUAGUUUUUGGUGAAGGAUAGCUUGCUCGAAGCCGCUUCAAGCAGUACUACUUGGGGGAACCUUUCCAGGUAUGGCGGCUGUACGCUUCUUUUUAUUUUUUAUGAAUUUGCUCCAUUUUAUGCCGAUUUUCUGGGUAUUUAAUUGAUGACUGAUGUGGAAAUUAAGUUUUAAAUGGUUGUUUUUACUGAAUCUGAAUUUGUUUUCAUACUUAACUCUGUUUUGGUUUUCUACUAAUACCUUUUAUUUUCCUCUAAAUACCUAACGUAUGGACUGUUCUUGGUUGGAUACUUGCUAAUCAUGCCACUGCUCUCUGCUUGUCCCACUUACGUUCAAGCACUUGGAUAACACAAUGAAAUGUGGCUUCCUCUAACUGUUUGUCUGUACCACUUUUGUGUUUUACUUUCUUCAUAUCAGAAGAUUAAAAUGAUUUUUGUGCCUUUUCUAUGAUAAAUGAAAAAUAAUUAUUCCCCUUUUUACCCCUAUUUGAUUCAGCGGAUGGUUUGUUUCACGUUCUAUUUUCCAGGGGACCUAAUAAGUUUGAAACUGUUUAUAAUGUUUUGUUUUUCGUAUUUUAGUAUCAACACACCCAACUCUCAUAUAAGGCGUUGCAAUUGAUAGAAUCAAAGGCUGGACAUGGAUCAAAUUGCUGGCCCAAGCAGUAGACGAGGUAUGAAAAGUGUUUGAAAAGUCUGUUUAAAAUUGUCAAGUUGGAAAUAUUUAGUUACCAAGAUAUGAUUAUGAGUUAUUAAAUGGCAAAAUGAAUAAAAAUUCGUAAUUUUGAGGUUUUUCUUUGAUACACUUAACCAUGUAACCUAUAUUUAUGAAAAUCAAAUAAAAUUGUUUGGAAUCUAUUAAACAUUAUGAUUAAAUAUAUUAUAGCUUUGUAUAAUAUAGAUCAACCCAGUUACUCACCAUGUAGCUUAUUAGGGUUUUUAUUUUAUUUAUUUAUUUAUUUAUUGUUAAUUUGAAUUAAAUUAAACUGCCAAAUGCAAUAUAAUUUAAGAUAUUUGUAAGCUCUAUUUGAUAGUAUUAGAGGUUUAUGUAACAUAUUUGUUAACUAAACUACCAAAUGAGGGAUAUUAUUAAUUAUUGCAUUAGGUUAUCUAAUUUAAACUGAUUAUUUUCUCAUGGUCUUGUAGGUUUAGGACAUUUUUAGAUUAUUAUGUCUUACUCUUUAUUUAAUAUUUAAAGGUGUUGCAUAAUUAAUCAAGAUGAGAGAGACAAGUCUUACUCUGUCCAAGAAGAAUUAAUUAGGAUCUAUCUUAUCGUUAAAUGGAUGUUAGGCUUUAAGCAAGAGGGGUGUUAGUAUUGAUUUUAAAGUACUCGUGAGUGAGUCGACGUUUUAGCAUUACCCCAUGCUCAAAGUAGAAUUCUAUGGAAUUCUAAAAUGUUUCUUUUUUAAGAGUUUUUUCUUUCUGGAAAAUCUUAGAUUUUCUUUUUAUAGGUAAAAAGAAAAUCUAAAAUUUAGAGGGUCAUCAGAAUGCACACGAAGCAUAUAAAAAACAUUUUUCGGUUAAGUCAAGGGGAAACAACAAAUACAAUUUGCCCUCGGCCUAAGCCUAAAGCAUAAAAGACCAAGAGAAAACAAAAACCUCGAGAUGACCUUCUUGUAUGCUUGUCGACCAAACUGGUUGCUGUGACCCAACCAUGACAAAAAGAUGAAACAAAAAAAAUGCAUCUUCUACCCUUGACUCUUUCUGAGGCCACAGUUUUUUGAGUUGCGCCAAGAUCCUUGCACUGAAGCCCACUGUCGGCAAGCCCAACGAGUCGGUGAAAGUUUUCGGGUUGCUUGAGGACGGAUUCGCCAUAGACACCCAUGCUCUAGAAACCCAGCCUGGACAUGACCCAUUUGCAUUCACUUGUUCUGAGAAACCGAAAAAUCCAUUUUAGGGGACCGUAAUCAUUUCCUAGAGAAUUAACAGAAAAAACCACCUCACAUCCCUUCGAAUCAAGACCAACCCCAUAAAAUGCAAAAGUUGCUCAUGUCUCCAAGGGAGAAAGAGAGAAAGAAAAAGUACCAGAAUGUCCUACCGCUACUUCCAUAAGGGCAAUUUCUCCAACUGCAGCAAGUGAAGUAGCACUCUCACGUUCUCAACAGCGCAUCUCUCCCGUGGCUUCACCGCUAUCCUCUAGACCAGAAAACGCAUAACUCGAAACGUCAGUAGAAAUAAAUGGUUGUACUUCCCACCACAAUUGAUGGAGAAGCAAGAGAAGUCAUCCACCGCCGUCAAUAUCCCAAGCAUCCUUCUCUCAUCUAAUCUUGCUAAAGCCACGCAAGUAUCCCUAAUCUUUUUUAACGUCUUCGGACUCCACAAGUGCAAAGGAAGCCUUACCACGCUAACCCACACUUCCUUGGCAUGCGCACCUUUUCGACAACAGUCUACCUCGAGGGACGACCUAUCCAAGCGCAAAACCAUUUCCUUAAACCUUUUUACACCACUUGGCAAAACAAUCUCUUUAUCACAGCCAUGAUCAUACUCGAACUAUAGAACAACACCCCUUAGCAAGAUAAUCCUUAUCACCCCUUAGAGACCAAUCAUGACCUACACAACUCCUGAACCCAAGAAAAUCUGGGGUUAGGUAUAGAAAAUCUACCCAUCUCCCUACUAGACAACUACUCAAUUUCUCUAUCCGGGUUGAACCUCCUCAUCAAACUGAAUCCAAAUUGUUUCAUUCACCAAAUCGUGCUCUUUAUAACCAAGUCUACAAUAAACCCCUUCAAUGGAUACACUGAACUAUCCAUGUUCAAAGACCUUGAGGUAGUUGGGUAUGGAAGCCUCAUUUCCUUUGACGAAACUACUCAGAGAAAGUGAAGUUUGUCGGCCGGGAUAGACCCUAUCCCCUAGGAUACUUGUCACGACCCAAAUUCCGGGCGACCCAAAAUUUGACCCAUGACCCCAGGUCAAAGGUUUGACCCUAAGAGUUCCUCCUAUUCCACGUUGGCAGUCAACCAAAACACUCUGGAUUUUUUUUUUAUAUACAUCUCACUAGAAUUCUCAUAAACCACAAUAUCCCAAAACUACUCAAAACAACAAGAUUAAAUAAAUAUUCAUUAGAGUCCAAAAUAAAAUUUCACAAUUAACACUUAAUCAAAAUAAAGCUUCAUAACAAAUCCAUGAGUCAUAAUUACUAAAACAAAUCCAUGAGUCAUAAUUACUAAAACACAAUAACAGAAAAUGUCACGUUCCACUAGGCCGCUCCAGGAGCAUCCUGAAGUCCUCCCUGCCCCACCUGUGGAUCCUCAAGAGAGAUAUCUGCAUCUAAAAAUGUGUAACAAGGAAGGGGUGAGCAUUUCCACAUUGCUCAGUAGGGUGCCUAACACCCAAGGGGUUAAGGGGAUUACUAAGUUUCAAAGAAUACGAAAAGAACACUUCAACACCAUAGGAACAAUUCAACAAUAUCAAUCAAACCACAUAGUUUAAUAUAUAAUUCUAUACACAAUUUCACAAUAUUCAACAAUUACAGGAAUGCACAUGAACGUGUGACACACAGUCAUACAAUGCACUAUUGUUCUCAGGCUUUCACCGAAUGAUACGCGUCCGCACCCAAAUACACUCCCCAUUCGGAGUUGAUUCGUCCCUAGCAGCGGCAGUGGCAAUGGCACCAUCUGAUUCGGGGUUCGAUCCCCGGCAACGGCGCCAUUUGAUUCGUGCCCAAUUGAUGUCUCAGCUGAUUCGUGUCUAGCUGGUGCUCCUUGAUUGAGGGAUUAAUCAACAAAAUUUAUAACCUAUUACACCAUAUACUAGGGUAGCAAAGACAAAGCUACUAUAGCAUAGUGGCUCUAGGAUCGUUCACUGGGAUGGGUUUUCACUUCACAAAUGAUAUUAAUUCAAAGUUGAAUUGGUGCCUUUUCAUUUCAAGGUUAGCUUUAAAAGAAAACAUAAAAAUGUUUGAAUGAAAAAGGUUUGGUUUUACACUAACCAAAAAUAGUAACUGAUUUUACUUACAAAGAAAAGUGUUUCUUGGAGUUCAGAUCACUAGGCUCAGGUUCCUCAUACAAAAAAGAGAGUUCCGGUCACUUGUUUCUUUUCCUCGCAUUAGAGAAUUAACAUAUAGUUCCUUCUCCAACCGGUGUUGUACAGAUGCUUCCCAUUAAUGGGUUCAAACACUAAAUCCCUCUCACUGAUGCACCUUGCAAUGACUCAUACCUCUCACCUAGCACUUGCCAUUCAAGGUGAUCUUUAACCUUGGAUUACCCGUCAAAAGCUCGCAAGAGAUAACUAAUGGAUGUCUCCUUGGAGUCCAAAAGCUUACCAAGUGUUGGCUAUUCUAGAAAAUCCUACCUUCAAGUCACCUCCCAAAGGCUCGCAAUGGGUAAACUAGUGCAUCUCCAUGGACGGAGAUCACUUGCCUUACCAAGUGUUGGCCCAGGUGAUUUAAAGGCGUUUUAAGUUAACUAAAAAGAUAAAAACCAUUAACGGGUUACACUUUCUCUUCAUUAAAAACUAAAACAACAAAACUUCCAAAUUAUGCAUGUGGAAACUUACCCGGCUUUCCUUACUCCAAGAGACAAAAAGCUUAGCCUCUCAUCCUCUUAGGAAAAAUCCUCAGAGUUUGGUUAGCUAGAAAUAAAAAGAAAUGAAAAAUCAAAGAGAAGGAAAAACAGAGCAAGGCUCUGUAUAUUCUAUAUAUUUAUCGAUAUGGAUUACAUGAUACUCUUACAGUGGAUGCAAGGGAAUAUAUAUAGAGACAUUUUUCCAACCUUCCCAACUAAGAAAUCUUAUGGUUGGUGGAUUACAAGGAGAAGAAUGGAAAUUCAUACAAAAAUAUCUGAAGAAAAAUAUCCCAAAGUGUCGGUCACAAAUAUCGGGGUGCUUCAGGAACCAUUUCGCAAGAGAAAAUGGUGUCUGCGAGAUUUCGCAGGCACUCAAGAAGGGUUGCGAAAUUACUUCGCAUCAACAAGCUGAACUCGCACCGCUGCGAAGUUGGAUUUCAUCUUGUGGUGUUUGGCUUCCAUCGCGACGUGAAACUUCAAGAGGAAUUUCAAAACACUGUACAAAAAGGCUGCGAAAUCAUCUCGCAACAAAAGGGUGAUUUCGCAACACUUUGCAAAUUUCUUCCUUCAGCUUGGAGUGAUUGACUUGCAGUGGCUGUAACUUCUUCGUUUCAACUCCAAAUUGCACACCGUUUGAAGCAUUGGAUUCUUGACUUCCUGAGCUUUGAAAUGGUAUAUAGAAUGUACAAAAUUGACUUCGGGAAGUGCUCCAAAAGUGCACAAGAAAACUGCAGCUGUUGUCCUAUGUUUUCUUCACUCUGUUUUUCCUCUCUCCUUGCUUCUCUCCUUGCAUACUUUGAACGACUUUGGCAAAGGGCUAUGGAGCUCCAAAGCUUGGUUCUUCAUUAAUUUGAGCUCUUCAUUGCUUUGCCAUGGAUUCCAAAUAACUCUCCUCAAUCCUGGAUUGUUUUGGUGAUCAAAUUACUAACAAAAACACCAAAACUUACACAAUUUGAUUAGAAAUGAUUGCAAGGGUCCUUAACAUGUUAAUUGGGUUAAAAGGCAAUAACUACUACUCAAAAGUGUUUAAAAGAGUUAAUUACAAGCUAUCAAAUAGCACUUUUUGAGUAGUAAUCAGUCUUCCUGGGGUAACUUUUGGGUCUUUCACCCUAGGGAUCUCUCUCCCUUCUUAAUUCGUCCCACACGACUUUCACUUCUCAUCACUAUUUCUUUUUUUUUUUUUUUUCCAUUUCAUACACUUUUCACAAUCUUCAUAAUUUUAUUUAUUUUCCACAUAACCAUGAUGCAAAUGAAUGCCACAAUUCCAAGGUUCCUCAAUAAUUCAACAAUUUCAACAUUCCCCAAUAAUCCAAUAAAAUAAUUUCACACAUUAAAAUUUCUGAUAAUAUCCCAAAUAAAUAUUCAAAAAUUUGCAUAUCAAAAAUCUUGAAAUUUUACCAUACUUACGGAAUUUUUCAACCAUUAUAAUAAUUUCUAAUAUUCGAAAUUAACUAACUUUCUAUCAUAAAAAUUCCAAAAAUUUUCUAACUAAUGCCUAAAAAUUCACCAAUUACUAUUUUUGAAAUUUAGCCCUAAUUUUGGAAUUUUUCAACCCUUCAAAUAAUUUUUUUACAAUUCAAAACAAUUAAUUAUCAAUCAAAAUCAAUUUCCCGCAAUUACAAAAAUUCCAAACAAAUUCCAAAUAUUCUAGAAAAAUUCAUACAAUCCCCAUAAUUCCUAAUUAACUCAUAAUGACAAUAUUUACAAUUUUUUUCAAGGGAAAAACAUAAAAAUUUAAGUUUUAAGGUUAGGGUCCCCUACCAAAGAUCUAAGAAUUCAGCUGCUAAAAAUACAAUUGGCCACUGUAUGAUUGUUCCCCUCGUCGAGUAGAACACACCCUCCAAAUCUGAGUUGAAACGGAGGUCGUUUGACCACCCAAACGACCGGUCAAAGCUCCGGCGAGGUGAGAUUUUCUAUAGUGCCGCUGCCCCUUUUCUCCCAGAUCUGCUACUGUUCCCUUCUUUUCCACUUAAGCCCAUUUCUUUUCAUUUUAAUCCACUUACCAAACAGCCCACUCAAGCCCAACCCAAGUUCAAAAUAAACCCAAUAACUAACUCCCAUUUUUCUUUUAAAACCCUAUUUCAUCCAAGCCCAAAUUACUCCAUUUUCAUUUUUUUUUUUCUUUUCUCUUUAUUUUUAUAAAACACACAAUUUAAUAUUUUUCUCAAUUUUUUAUUAAUAAGGAAUUUAAUUUAAUUAACUAUUAUUUUUUUUCUAAUUAAUUUUAAUUAAUUAACUUUUCAUUUUUGUUUUCGUUUUUUUUUCUUUUCCGGAAAUUCCCAAUUACUAAAAUCCUAAGAAAUUUCCACCCUAAGGCUGACAUGGCAUAAAAUUUUCAACUCACCUAAUUGACCAACACAAUAAACUGAAUUUCACCAAUCCAAAACUAACACCUGUUCUUCAGGCACUUUUCUUUUUGACUUUUCAACCAUCAUUUAAAAUAAGACUUUUCAAACUAAAAAUGCUAACGUGACAUAAAAUACCCGGUCAUUACAUCCUACCCCCCUAAAAGAAAUUUCGUCCCGAAAUUUAAACUAGCUUACCUUAAAAUUCAUAGAAGAGUUGCGAAUAGUGUCGUCUCAUUUCUUCCUCAGGUUCCCAAGUGGCUUCUUCUAUCCCAUGGUGUUGCCACCACACUUUGACUGCAGGAAUCACCUUGUUCCUAAACCUAUGCUCUCCAACUUCCAGAAUUCGUAAAGGUUCCUCCACAUAAGAAGUAUUUUCACUAAUCUGAACAUCUUGCAAAUCCACUACCCAAGUUGGAUCUGGAGUACACUUCCUUAGCAUUGACACAUGGAAAACAUCAUGCACAAGGGACAACUGUUGAGGCAAAAUUAACUUGUAUGCCACUGUGCCAACUCUCUUAUCAAUCUGAAAUGGUCCCACAAACCUAGGGGCUAACUUCCCCUUCUUCCCAAAUCGAAAUAUGCCUCUUCGAGGGGACACUUUUACAAACACCCAAUCCCCUUCCUCAAACUCCAAGGGUCUUCUCCUUUUGUCUGCAUAACUUUUCUGUCUAUCUUGGGCAGUCUUAAGUUUUUCCUUGAUGAGUUGUAUCUUCUCUGUAGUCUCUUAGACAAUCUCAGGUCCCAACAAACGACUUUCACCCAUCUCUAUCCAACACAAGGGCGACCUACAAGGUCUCCCAUAAAGUGCUUCAUAAGGUGCCAUGCCAAUACUAGAUUGGUAACUGUUGUUAUAAGCAAACUCUACUAAAGGUAAGUAAUCUGCCUAAUUUCCUCCAAAAUCCAAAACACAAGCCCUUAACAUGUUUUCUAAGAUCUGGAUCACUAUUUCUGAUUGACCAUCUGUCUGAGGGUGAAAAGCGGUGCUAAAAUUCAGUUGAGUGCCCAAAGCCCUUUGUAAACUCUGCCAAAAUUGAGAAGUAAACUUAGGGUCCCUGUCAGACACUAUAGAUACAGGUAUCCCAUGCAAUCUCACAAUCUCCUGUAUAUACAACUUAGCCAAAGAGUUCAUGGAAUCAGUAGUUUUCAUGGCUAGAAAAUGAGCUGACUUAGUAAGACGGUCCACAAUCACCCAAACUCCAUUUUUCUUGCUUUUAGUUCUUGGCAACCCUAUCACAAAGUCCAUAGUGAUAUUAUCCCACUUCCACUCAGGUAUAGGUAAAGGUUGCAACAAUCCUGCAGGCCUCUGGUGUUCAGCCUUCACUUGCUGACAAAUCUGACAAUUAGCUACAACCUGAGCAAUAUCUCUCUUCAUCCCACUCCACCAAAACUGUCUCUUUAAGUCUUGAUACAUCUUGGUAUUCCCAGGAUGGAUGGUAUACUUCGCCCUAUGAGCAUUUGCUAGAAGUUCAUUUCUCAACUCCACAUCUUUUGGCACACACAAUCUCCCUUUGAACCUCACACUCCCAUCUUCAUACAUAGACCAAUUUUCAUCUAUUUCACCUGCUACCAACUGGGCUUUAACCUUUUCUAAAAACUCAUCAUGAACUUGGGCCUCCACUAUUCUCUGGAUAACCAUUGGUCUAGCUGAUAUACUGUACAAGCAUGGACCAUGCCCUUCCAAACCAAGACAUAAUUCAAAAUCCUCAAUAACUGCAUGCAUCUCAAACUCUCUCAACUCCAAGCUAGACAACUGGCCAACACUCUUCCUACUCAAGGCAUCUGCUACAACAUUCACCUUUCUUGGAUGAUAAUGAAGAGCAAAAUCAUAAUCUUCCAAUGUCUCCAUCCAUCUCCUUUGCCUAGAGUUCAGAUCCUUUUGAGUGAAAAUAUAUUUCAAACUCUUGUGAUCAGAGUACACCUCAAACUUCUCUCCAUACAAAUAGUGUCUCCAAGUCUUAAGGGCAAACACCACUACUGCAAGCUCCAAAUCAUGUGUUGGAUAAUUCCGCUCAUGCUGCUUUAACUGUCUUGAGGCAUAAGCUACCACCUUGCCUUGCUGCAUUAGCACACACCCUAGCCCCACUGUGGAAGCAUCACAAUAAAUUGUAAACAACUCUCCACUAAUAGGAGCAGUUAACACUAGAGCAGUGGUCAAUUUCCGCUUCAACUCCUGGAAAGCAUUCUCAUACUCCUCAUUCCAAUCAAACUUCACCCCAUUUCUAGUCAACCGAGUCAUUGGUACUGCAAUUCUAGAGAAGUCUUCCACAAACCUCCUAUAAUAUCCAGCCAACCCCAAGAAACUUCUAACCUCAAAUACAUUGGUAGGCCUUUGCCACUCCUAAACAGCUUCCACCUUGGAAUGGUCUACUGCUAUUCCUGCCUCAGAAACCACAUGGCCUAAGAAAUUCACUUCAGUAAGCCAAAACUCACUUUUUUCCAACUUCCCAUACAACUGAUGUCUUCUUAAAGUUUUAAGAGUGGUCACCAAAUGCUGUUUAUGCUCCUCCAAACUCCUAGAGUAAAUCAAAAUGUCAUCCACAAACACAAUCACAAACUGAUCUAAGUAAGCAUGAAAUACUCUGUUCAUUAAAUCCAUGAAAGCAGCGGGGGCAUUAGUUNNNNNNNNNNNNNNNNNNNNNNNNNNNNNNNNNNNNNNNNNNNNNNNNNNNNNNNNNNNNNNNNNNNNNNNNNNNNNNNNNNNNNNNNNNNNNNNNNNNNUUAGUGUGCCAUCCUUCUUCUUCACAAACAACACUGGGGCUCCCCAUGGCGACGUACUCGGACGAAUAAAACCUUUACCCAACAAUUCAUCCAACUGAGUUUUCAAUUCCUUCAACUCAAGAGGGGCCAUCCUAUAAGGGGAUACUGAAAUAGGAUCAGUUCCUGGGAAUACUUCAAUAAAGAAAUCAAAUUCUCUAUGAGGUGGUAAACCUGGAAACUCAUCUGGGAAUACAUCUUGAAACUUUCUCACCACUGGAAUUUCUGCAAUGUCCUUCUAGGCUUUCUCCUUACCACGAAGGUAAGCUAGGAAAUUUAUUGAUCCCUUCCUCAACACAUACUGAUAGCACGGAUUGGAUUGCGAAAAAAGCAAACUAACACACUUUCCUCCAACAAAGCAAACCUCAAAUCCCUCUGGCAGACAAAAUAUUAUCCUGCGGCGAUGACAAUCAAUAAUUGCUCUAUACACUGCCAACCAAUCCAUUCCCAAGAUAACAUCAUACCCAGUCAUAUCUAAAAUCCUCAAAUCCACAUUAAGUGCUAUAUCCACCAAGGUAAUAACGCACCCCUUGCAUAUUCUAUCAACUUUAGAGUUCGUACCCAUAGGGGAUUCAAUAAGUAACAAAUUCUCUACCCUUUCUGAUUUCAACCCUGAUGCAUUAGCACAAGAUAUAGAAAUGAAAGAAUGAGUUGCACCAGUAUCAAACAAAACAUGCACCCAAGUACUAUAUACCAAAAUCAUACCUUCCACCAAGAGAGCGUCCUCCUCUGACUCUGUUGGGGUCAAGGCAAAAACUCUCCCAGCUGUCUGCCUUCCCCUACCUCUAGCAUUCGACCCCUGAGAAGAGCGGGUCUGACUCGUGGUAGCUGUCCUAGUUCCCUGUGCUGCUGGGGGUAAUUGUGGCAUCUGAUAGUAAGGCAACUGAAACUGAGGGGGCUGGAAAGGCACUACUGACUGUUAUUGAGAACUUCCCUGAGACUGAGGUCGAGCCUGCUGUGCACCUUGCACUGGGCAAGCCCUCCAUAAAUGGUCUCCUGCUCCACAACCAUAACAUACUCUAUUAGCAGCUGCCCUCUGAGCAAUCUGCCCCCCUCCUGCAUAGAACGAGGGACGCCUCUCAAACUGCUAAGUCCUCUGCCUCUGCUGUGGCCCUUGGGAACUUUCCCUCAUUCUUUGUUUCCCUUUUCUGUCCCCCUUUUGCUCUCGAAUUUGGUUAGUUUCGUCAAUGUCCUGCUCCACCAACAAAGCCCUCUUAACCAACUCAGAAUAGUCCCUUAUUGCCAAUGGGACUAAUCUAUUCCUAAUAGCAGGCCUCAACCCCUGCUGGAACCUUCUAGCCUUUUCUCCUUCCUCCCCGAUCAUCCCCAAAGCAAAUCUAGACAACUCCGAAAAGCGUGACUCGUACUCCAGCACCGACAUGGUUCCCUGGAUGAGGUGCUCAAACUCCAUCCUCUUGGCAUGCUUAGCCACCUCCCCAAAAUACUUGCCUAGGAAGAUUCUCUCAAAUUCCUCCCAGGUCAUAACCUCAGUGUCAUACACCCUUUUCAUUGAUUCCCACCAGAAAUCAGCUUUAUCAACAAGCAUAUAUGUUGCUAGACCUACCCUUCUUUCCUCAGGUAUGUCCAGUCCCACCAGAAUUCUUCUCAUCCUCCUCAACCAAUGCUCAGUUGCUUCAGCAUUGGGCUCUCCAUUAAAAGAUGGAGGUUGCAUCACCAUGAACCUCUUUAUUGCUUCCAUUUGGCUCAUUACUGGCCUCUCAGUGCGGUUCCUCCUAUGUGAGUGGCCUGAAUCCUCAUGGCCCUGGGUACCUCCUGAUCUCCUGGAACCCUGGCCUCUCAUCAAUUCAACAGUUUCUCUCAACUCUCUUCUUACUUCUCGGAGUUCUUCUCUUACCGUCUCCAACUCCUCAUUCCUCUCUGAUCUUCCUCCUCUGGUCCUUCCCGCCAUUUCAAGUUUAACAAACCCUAAUUCAAUCACAUUACUAAGGUGAGCAAAAAUAAAUUUCACAUAUACACACUUAGCAACUUCAACAAUUAUCAAAACUUUCACUUUCAUACACUCAUAAUACAUAAUUCAAUUAAUCAUCAACUAGUUAAUUAACACAUACAAAAAUCAUAACAUUACAACACACAUAAACACCCAAGGUAUUAUUGCAACCUUGGCUCUGAUACCACGCUGUCACGACCCUAAUUCCGGGCUACCCAAAAUUUGACCCGUGACCCCAGGUCAAAGGUUUGACACUAAGGGUUCCUCCUAUUCCAUGUUGGCAGUCAACCAAAACACUUUGGAUUUUUUUUUUUUUUAUAUAUACAUCCCACUAGAAUUCUCAUAAACCACAAUAUCCCAAAACUACUCAAAACAACAAAAUUAAAUAAAUAUUCAUUAUAGUCCAAAAUAAAAUUUCACAAUUAACACUUAAUCAAAAUAAAGCUUCAUAACAAAUCCAUGAGUCAUAAUUACUAAAACAAAUCCCAAAAUCCAAACAAAAAACACAAUAACAGAAAAUGUCACGCUCCACUAGGCCGCUCUAGGAGCAUCCUGAAGUCCUCCCUGCCCCACCUGUGGAUCCUCAAGAGAGAUAUCUGCAUCUAAAAAUGUGUAACAAGGAAGGGGUGAGCAUUUUCACAUUGCUCAAUAGGGUGCCUAACACCCAAGGGGUUAAGGGGAUUACUAAGUUUCAAAGAAUACGAAAAGAACACUUCAACACCACAGGAACAAUUCAAAAAUAUCAAUCAAACCACAUAGUUUAAUAUAUAAUUUUAUAUACAAUUUCACAAUAUUCAACAAUUACAGGAAUGCACAUGAACGUGUGACACACAGUCAUACAAUGCACUAUUGUUCUCAGGCUUUCACCGAAGGAUACGCGUCCGCACCCAAAUACACUCCCCAUUCGGAGUCUUCCCGGGGUAACUUUUGGGUCUUUCACCCUAGGGAUCUCUCUCCCUUCUUAAUUCGCCCCACACGACUUUCACUUCUCAUCACUAUUUUUUUUUUUUCCAUUUCAUACACUUUUCACAAUCUUCAUAAUUUUAUUUAUUUUCCACAUAACCAUGAUGCAAAUGAAUGCCACAAUUCCAAGGUUCCUCAAUAAUUCAACAAUUUCAACAUUCCCCAAUAAUCCAAUAAAAUAAUUUCACACAUUAAAAUUUCUGAUAAUAUCCCAAAUAAAUAUUCAAAAAUUUGCAUAUCAAAAAUCUUGAAAUUUUACCAUACUUACGGAAUUUUUUAACCAUUAUAAUAAUUUCUAAUAUUUGAAAUUAACUAACUUUCUAUCAUAAAAAUUCCAAAAAUUUUCUAACUAAUGCCUAAAAAUUCACCAAUCACUAUUUUUGAAAUUUAGCCCUAAUUUUGGAAUUUUUCAACCCUUCCAAUAAUUUUUUUACAAUUCAAAACAAUUAAUUAUCAAUCAAAAUCAAUUUCCCGCAAUUACAAAAAUUCCAAACAAAUUCCAAAUAUUCUAGAAAAAUUCAUACAAUCCCCAUAAUUCCUAAUUAACUCAUAAUGACAAUAUUUACAAUUUUUUUUCAAGGGAAAAACAUAAAAAUUUAAGUUUUAGGGUUAGGGUCCCCUACCAUAGAUCUAAGAAUUCAGCCGCUAAAAAUAUGAUUGGCCAUCGUAGGAUUGUUCCUCUCGUCGAGUAGAACACCCCCUCCAAAUCUGAGUUGAAACGGAGGUCGUUUGACCACCCAAACGACCCGUCAAAGCUCCGGCGAGGUGAGAUUUUCUAUAGUGCCGCCGCCCCUUUUCUCCCAGAUCUGCUACUGUUCCCUUCUUUUCCACUUAAGCCCAUUUCUUUUCAUUUUAAUCCACUUACCAAACAGCCCACUCAAGCCCAUUUCGUUUCCUCUUAAACAGCCCACUCAAGCCCAACCCAAGUUCAAAAUAAGCCCAAUAACUAACUCCCAUUUUUCUUUUAAAACCCUAUUUCAUCCAAACCCAAAUUACUCCCUUUUCAUUUUUUUUUUAUUUUCUCUUUAUUUUUAUAAAACACACAAUUUAAUAUUUUUCUCAAUUUUUUAUUAAUAAGGAAUUUAAUUUAAUUAACUUUUUUUUUUCUAAUUAAUUUUAAUUAAUUAACUUUUCAUUUUUGUUUUCGUUUUUUUUUUCUUUUCCGAAAAUUCCCAAUUACUAAAAUCCUAAGAAAUUUCCACCCUAAGGCUGACAUGACAUAAAAUUUUCAACUCACCUAAUUGACCAACACAAUAAACCGAAUUUCACCAAUCCAAAACUAACACGUGUUCUUCAGGCACUUUUCUUUUUGACUUUUCAACCAUCAUUCAAAAUAAGACUUUUCAAACUAAAAAUGCUAACGUGGCAUAAAAUACCCAGUCAUUACAAUACUUCUUCCUUGAGGGAAGCUCAAGGUGAACCUUUUAGUCUCCACACAACAAAUCAAGCAAAUAAUGAACCCAUCUGCCUCAUAAGAGCUUAGUUCCAGUGUAAACUCUGUCUCGUCUUCCACCCAUGUUUUGUUGCACAAAUUUUCAUCCUCAGACCUAUAACAAGCUUCCACAUCUUCCAACAAACAACACAAGUUCCUUUUCCCACACCUGAUCCACCUGGACACACCUCUGCAUCUCUCCAAAAUUCUCUUUUAGUUUCCCUCCAAACGUCUCUAUUAAGAUAUCAAAUGACUUUGAUCCUAUUGCAAAACAACACCUACCAUUUCUCGUCUCUCAUUGUAUAUUGUCUGGGAAGAGUAUAAAUGUGGAAAGCGUUUUUUGCUUGUCCCACAUAGGAAAAAGUGGAACACUUUUAGUGGGUUUAUGCCCACUCGCCUUAGCCUAAUGGGCCUUUGAGUGGGAAAAGCUCGCAUGCUCAUGGGGUCGAAUCCCAUUUGAGUGGGUUUUUAAUGUUCACUUUCUCUCCUCCUUCCUUCCUGUGUACGGGUGCGUUAUUCGCUAAUUUUUAUUUGUUACUCUUUUACUUUUUGUCAACUCUUUGGGAAGAACCCUAGAGUUCCAAUGAGAUUGUACUAGUAGAUGUCUUGUAACAUUUACAACUAGACUCUUGUUCUAUUUACAAGUAGAGUCUUAUUCGGAAUGUCAUGCAUUCGAGUAAGAGCAUUUGCCUUUCUUCUCUAUGUAAAUAAAAGGUUGGAAUGAUUUCAAGACCCUCAACAAAAGAAUGGAUUAAGGUGACAUUUUUAUUCGCUAUGAAAAAUAGUUUUGUUGUUUUUUUUUUUUUUUGUUUUUGUCGCUAAUAAAUUUUGCUCAUUAAGUUCUUGUUUGAUGUGCCCUUGUUAGAACACUAUAAUAGUUGUUCUUUUUGGGUUAAUGGUCUCAAUCAUGAAUUGAUAAAAUUUCAUAUCCUUUUUCUUUUGGAUUCCAAGCUCGGUUUUUUCUUAAUCAUUGUGGAAGACGAAGCGGUUCGCUAGCCUCUACAUCUAUAGAUCCUACGUAAUAAUUAAACUUGGUGGUGGCUCGUUGUUUGAUGAGUGAUUCCUUGAUCACUAGAUCUCGAGAUUCCACCUUAUUCUUGGUUGAUUGGCAUUCUUGUAAGCUAAUCUUGCAUACUAAUUCUAGGGGUCCUAGGUGAUGCACCAACCAAAGAAUGUUUAUUCCCUUAGCCAUAAAACAUGAGAUUGGCAAUGCUUGUUGCUCAUUAGUCUGUCAUUAAUAAGAUUUCUAGCUAUUGUUUUUAUUUCACUUACAAGUAAAGUCUUGUUCUAUGUUAGUGACAUAUAAAACUAAGACACUCCUCACUUUCCAAACACCAAUUUUUUGAAGAGUUUUUCAUAGCACUUUUCAUACAUCUAUGUAGAGGAAAUUUUCAAAGCUUAAGCUAUCCAUGACCUUUCUAAAAAGUGCACGCCCAGUGAGAUUCACUAGCAUUAAAUCUUGGAGGUAUAAUAUUAAUACCUUAAUACAUUGGGUUUGUCUUUGAGAUGGUUGGAUUUUUUUCAAGGAUAGAGCUUGUCAUGCCUUAGCUCAUAACCAAUAAGUUUUCUUGUUAUUCGUUUUAUUCUUUUUGUGUUUUUUACGUAAGUCCUUUGUUUUCAUACCCUUGGUAAACUUUUUAGCAAUGUUUUAUUUUGAAUACCAUAAGUUCUUCUCCCAUUCUCUUUACUGCAAACUUUGACAAAAAAAAAAAGGUUUUGCCCAAACUUUUAGAAGUUUUCUAUUUCAUUCCUAGGUGUGUGAGAGAGAUUUGUAACUCUCAAGUAAGAUUUAGGGAUAAGAGCUAUCAUGAGAAUUUGUACACUAAUGGUUUUAUAGUGGACUUAAGUUUUGUGAUGUCUGGUAGUUUUUACAUUGGCAUAAUCUUUUGGACAACUUUAAAUUAAUAUUCUCAUAAACUUUAUUAUCAUAAAUAUUUUGGGCUAAAGGGAAGUAAAUGCUGUAAAAAAUGUUAGUGUUGCACAAUUUAUUUUACUAUAACUGUAAGUAACUGAUUUAUUUUACUUAAUGUGAAUAUAAUGGGGCUCACGGUUGCCAUUUUGGAUAUGUUGGUUCUAUGAUAGUAAGGUUAGGAAGGCAACCAAAUAAUGAUGUCUCAAACAAAAAAUGUUCAAAAUUAUAUCAUGCCUUGUUUAAUUUAUAAAAAUAAAUAAGUAAAUGUGUUUUUAUGUUAGCUAUAUUGAAACGGUAAUCAAGAUAUGGAAUUAGUCUCUUGGACGGACUAUAAUGUAAAACCAAAGACAAUUCUAAUAGAAAAAGCACUGUCACAUUCCAAUCAAAAUUUGAACACUCCAUCCGCAAAUGAAAAGCUAACAUGUCCCAAGAUUAUAAAGUCAUUAUUGGUUUCGGAUGCCAAUGGUUCUAAGCCUUGUGUCUUCCCUAUAAACUAAAAUUGAUGUCUUUUAGUCCUUACUAUGUGACAAUCCCAGUCUUGUGCAUGGAGAAAGGAUCAAGCUUCAAUUGGUAGCACGGUUUGUAGAGGUGUAUGCGCAACUUGCAGAUGAGAUCGUACUCUUAUGGGUGGAAUAGCGCAUAGUGUUGCUGGUUGAUCUGCCAGUGAACUAGCUUGUAGAAUCACGAGUGUUGAUAGUCAAUCUAUCGUACAACCUGAAUCUCUUUAAGCUAAUAAUCUUAUGGCUUUUUAUGAUAUUACGCUGGUGGAGAAAUAUUUUGUUUAAGAAUUCAAUAUGAUGUUUCUAGUGGAUUGGUGUGCUUGAAUGUUGUGCAUUGUCAAUGUUUGCUUUAAUUGUCGUAAUUGGAGUGAAUUUUGGGGAAUCAGAUAGUAAGAAAUGAGCCUUUUGCAUGGGAAGGCAAUGCUGCUGGAGAACCAAAUUUCCUUUGAAGUUAGCGAUAGAGUGAUAGUGGUGUUUUCAUUCUUGCAAAAAUUGAAGAAUUUUUGGUUUGUCGUGAUCAUGCAAAUUAUUAAUGGGAAACAUAAUCGAAAGCUUGAUGGAAGGUGGAUGCCAACCAAUGGUGGAUAGUAGGGACCAAAUGAUUGUGAUGUGUAUAGGUAUAAGCAUCUGCUUGAUCUAUACCAAAGUAUAAAAUUGAUGGUAUAGGAUCAUUCGGAGAUUUGGUCCUAGAGUUUAUGGUCUUAUCAUUUGAAGAUGAAAACGACCAGUUGUGGUCGUUGGAAUCUACAUGAAGCAUAGUCCUACAAGUUAUUAUUUUAACAUUAUUAAGUUAUUAAUGAAUAAAAUAUUUAUUUAUAAUAUUUUCUGUAUAUCAAUUUAUAUUUGUUGAAAUAAUAUUAGAUUUUUUAGCUUAAAAAAAAUGUAGUCACAAUUGUGAAGUGAGGGUUUAGUUAAAAAAAUGGAGUCUCUAUUAACAAUUGUGGUUUCAAUUAAAAAAUGAAGACUCGUUGUCAGUACGGUUUUAAAAAUUGAAUUGGAUUGGUUGGUUGGAAUGUCGGUCAAUUUGAAUGGUUCAAACGUCCUUCGGUCGCCGUUUUGUUUGGUUCAAACGUCCUUCGGUCGCCAUUUUGUCUAGUUCGGUCAUUUAAGAAGGAAAGUGUUUGAAGCAGAAUUAGGCUAGUUAAAUUGGUGGUUGGAUCAUCGAAUAAAUCAAAGGGUUCCCUUCGAAUCGUACGAGUGAAUAUUUUUUUGUUUUUUUUCCAUUGUUGUCGUCUCUCGUCAGUUGGACCCCCACCUUGCGCUGGAAAAGCCCCCUCUUGCCGUCCCCGUUGCUAGAAAAGCACUUUGUGUUGCAAAGUCACCACCCUCGUGACGUUGUUGAGACCUCGCACCCCACGCCUCAUCUUAUUGUUCCUCGCCAACAGAACCCCCACCACCCUGUAAAGCCGUUGCCAUCUUCACCCUGGAAACCCCAUCCUCUAGGAGAGAAGGAAUUCUUAAAAGGAGAGUUUAUAGAGAGGGGAGAGGAGGGGGGAGAGAGAGAGAAGAAGCGUGCAGUGACAGCACAGAGAUUUUGUAUCAGACGGAGUAGAAAUGAGGGAGGUGAGUUCACUUUUCAAAUAUUAAAUUUAAUUUUCUCAUUCUUGUCUUCAAUAUACGUGUUAUUAUAUUUUGUAUCUUGAUUUUACAAAACAUUAUUCAGUUACAGAAAGAGAAAUGGGAAAAGUUUUAUUAUUAACACAAGUUUCAUUUGUUACAUCUAAUAUAUUUUUUAUACAUGGCUUAUUUUGACUAAAAACUCCCUUGAAACAGUGUAGAGAUAUCUAGCGGUAUUCUUUCUGACUAUCUCAUUCUCCUCGUAACAAAUAACAAUGGCAGGGAACAUGGUCAUCCUUCAAAUGGAGGAGCAGUGGGAAUCAUUCCCGGUUGGUAGUGAUCAUAUGAGAGCCUUGAUUGAUUUAAAAUCCAGAUUUCAUCGACUAGAACUUGAAGUGGAAUCUGAAUCUUCGUUAUCAUCAAGUGUAAAGCUGCAAUGUCCUAAAUUGGAACAUAGAUUUGGUUGAGUUAUCAAUGGUGAUGGGAGGAAUUCUCAGGCAUGCGGUGGUCUCAUUUAAACUUAAAGAAAUGUCCCUCAUGUGACAUGUAAGACUGCGCUUGAUGCGGAUUCCAACGUCCAUCAAUUCCUUCUCAUUUCUAAAUGAUGUCAUAACCUCUCUGACAUCUCUAAUUGAUGCAUAUCUAGCAUACAACCAAUCCAACUAUCCAAUAACGAAGGACCUUCCAAAUUUUUCAUUUUAACGAUGCGUUGGGCUGCUAGAAUGUUCAUCACCUAGGAUAAUUCUUCGGAAGAGAUCGAGUAGACGAUGACAAGGCUUUGACUCGUUCUUAGGACUUUGCGACUUCAAUUUGGGGCCAAUAAUUUUGUUGUAUGGGAAGAACAGGCUGGGGUAAUAAUUCUUCAUUUUUUGCAGCAAGGACUCCCUCGUACCUAUAAAUUCCUGUAAUAUUGACUCGUCGUUAAUGCCGAAGAAUUCCUGGAACACUGGCAUCCAAAAAAAACCCACCGCUCCUGAACUCACCUUCUUCAUCAGCUUCAAAAAAUAAUUUUUAAAUAUAAAGUUAAAUAGAUAACUUAUUCUUAAUCUUAAACAUAUUUUCUUUCAUUUGUCCAUAUUUAAUAAAAACAUAUUUUAUAACUAUGACUUUACAUCCAUAAAUUAUUUUUUUAUACAACAUAUUAUAUAAUUAUGUUAUACAUUUAAAAUACUUUAAACAUAGAUAUUUAACAAAUACAUUUAUAACUUAAGAUGAAUAAAAGUAAAUAUAAGUUUAAAUUAAUGAACAAAUAUUAUUUAAAAUUAAUGAGAAUAAAUACGAUUAAUUUAAUUAUUUAAAAUAAAUUUUAAGUUAAUUUUAUUCAAUAAUCUUAAUAUUUAAAUUUAAAAAUAAGUUUUAAGUCAAUAUUAACUUAAAUUGUUAAGUAAUAGUAAUAAGUUUUACCCAACAUCUUUUUAAUUAUUGAAUUCAUAUUUCUUUUAUCAUUUCUCUUAUCCAAUUAAAAUUAUUAGAAAUCCAUCCAUUUAUGUUUUCUAUUUAAUCUCUUUAGCAAACUCGUCAUGUUUGAGUAGUUAAAUUAAAUCUUAUGUUUCCUCUCUCUUUGGGAUUUGAGAAAAAAAAAUCGAUAAUUUUAAAAAACAUUUAUUAAAAUAUGAUAGUUUUAAAAAUAUUUUAAAAUUUAUAAUAGCAAAGCAAAAAUCCAAUUGGAAAUAUUUUUGAAGCACCAUAUUUUAAUAAAUAUUAAAAAAUGGUUUUUUUUUUCCCCUCAAAAUCCCCAUCUUGGCUCUUGAGCAUUGCCCUCCCACUUCUAGUUAAUUUGUAACCACAUGUUUCAAUUUUGUUUAUUGAUGAGACAUUUCAAUAAUAUCCGAAUUGCCUUCACAGGUUUGGACGUUUCUUUGCCUUGUAUCUCGGCUAAGGAUAAUCUAGUUUUUUCUUAUCAUGUAUCACGUAAUGUUAUGGGAAAUUGUCUUAAACAAAAAUAUUGUUCAACAUUUAAUAUCCAUUAGACUUAAUUUCAUUCACCUUCCCUUAGAUUUUUGUUAAUACAUUUUAUUCUUAUAAAUUAAAAUUUCAUCAAAUAUAUAUUUUAUUUCUUUUUAUUUUUUAUUUUCACUCACCUUCUUUCUCAUUUAAAAUAAAUAAAGUAUUUGAUAAAAUUUCAAACUUAUAAAUACCAGAUAAAACUAGUCAAAACCUCAAGAAAAUGAAAUUAACUCAAUCCCAUUGUAAAUUCUCGUAUGAUUAAAUAUUAAGAUGAAUACGACAUAUCUUUAAGAUGAGUAUAAAUAAAUAUAAUAUCAAAUUAUAUAUAAAAAGGAUAGUUUAAAUUAAAUAAUCAAUUUAAUUUUCAAAUAAAAUGAUUAAUGUCAUUUUAACAUAUACGUGAUAUCGACUCCUACAUGUAUGGUUUAAUUUAAUGUUACCCACAUAGCUAUUCCAAAAUUAAAAUUUUUACUUACCCCUACGAUGUUAAGGCGGAGUAAUUGAUCAUACAAUGCAUAAUAAUUAUUUUCUUCAUUAGAUUAAAUAAUACAAAUUACAUAUACGAAUGAGAUUAUUUAGAUGGGAUUUCUAAUUAAUGAUCCAGCUUAGGUGUGAACUUAAAUUAUGUGUUUGUUGGAAACCCUUGUGAUGGAAUAAAAUUUCAUCCUUUUAUACUUGUAUUUAUUUUUUUUGAAGAACAAGUUUGACUUUUCCUUUAUAAUAAACAUUAAGUCUUUUUUUAAAGGGUAAAUAAGACUUUAAUAAUGUUAAUUGUUAAGUGAAGUGUGAACAUCUCCUCCAUGUGAACAACUGGAGCAUCUUUUACCUACAACUUAUAUGUAUUGUCUCGUUGUUCACAUGAAACAAUAAAUAGUGUAAGUCAAAUUCUCAUUACAAAUAUAAAAUUGCAUUAAUUCUCUAUUAUUAUUAAUCUUGGAUAUUGCACCAACAAAAACUGAGAUUAUAAUUAAAUAAAUCCAAAUCAGACAGCACUGAGCCUCUUUGUUGUCAUUUUUUUCAACCUUGGUGCCAAUCAUAAGUCCGGUAUUAAUUUAAUCAUGAUAUGAUCUUGAUUCAUUGAUUACAAUAUAGUUUAUUUGUGGUAGAAUUUUGGGAAAAUUAAUAUAAAAAAUAUGUGAGGAGGAAUCUUUUAUGGAUGGUUCAGGGAGAAGAGGCAAAUGAAGAUGUCCCAGAAAUGAAUUGGUGAUCAAAUAAUCCAAGAAAAAAAGCAUCAAAUCUAUGAUAUGUAUAAUGAAAGAUGUAUUUAAGUAAAUAAAUAAGCUCGUGUUAGGCAUGAACCCUUCCCAAAACCAAGGAGACACGCAUUAGCCUAUUUUAUGUGCUUCACUUGCUGUAUAUUAGUAGGUGUAUGAAUAGAUUAAUCUUUCUGAAGAAAAAAAAAAAAGAAAGAGAAGAAGACUUGAGUGCUCCUUUUUAAAUGACUUUCCCUUUGGAUAUCGUUAUAUCAACAAGGACUAGCUGACAGCAGCCUGUUGCUUACUCGAUUGGAAUUAUGGAGCUUGCAUGCAAUGAGCUGGUGAUUCAUAUUUCACAGGUCUGAUGUGGAUGAACUUUUUUCUUUCUUUUCUUUUAAUAAAUGAUAAGAAUAUCUCACUUAUAAAACAAAAAGAGAAAAUUAGACUAUGCGUGGAAACUAUUCUCAACAAUAAUUUUUUGUUUUUUAAACAUAAAAAAAAAAAUAUGAAAACACAUUUGCCUGUAAUUAUUUCUAAAAUAGGUUACUGAUGAUAUCUUUUAAUUAUUUUUGGUUAAUUUUAUUUUUUAUUUAGAGCUAUUUUUAAAUGUAAUUUUAGAAAUAUGAAAAAUGAUUAAAAUAUAUAAAAGGGUACAUAAAAGAAUAUUUUGAAAACAUAGAAAAUAAAUUGACAAUAUUUAAAAUUACCAAAGAAGCUUUUAUUAUACCAUCGUAAAAUUAUUUUUGAUAAUUAAUCUCAAAAACCAUCUUUUUAUAACUAUUUUGAAAAAUAUUCUCUAAUUAACAAACCUUAUGCUUUUAAGGAGGAUAAGGUAAAAUUUUAAUAAAAAAUAUAAAAUAUGAAUAUUAAUAUUUUAGUAAAGUUAUAAAUUAUAUUUUUUUUAUUAAAAAUAAAUAUUUUUUUUAGAAAAUGAUAAUAGUUAAUAAUAUCUUAUUUAAACUGAAUUAUGAAAAUAAGUAUAAUUUAUUUUUCAAAAUAAGCAAUAAAUUAAUCAAGUUUUGAUCACGUACACAUGUUUAUUCCCUAGUUACAAGUAUUCUGAACCAGUUCAAUCCCACAAAAUUUUUAUAAUAAUUAGCAUAAUUUUUUAGUUUUAAUUUAUUUUUAAAAUAAAAGCAUGGAACUAGAUUGAAUCUUUCUUGGGAAUCCCUAGCAAUGCUGGAGGCUGUGGAGUGGCGGGAAAUCAGGGUCAAUUUCAAUCAAACGUGUAUCUCUUUGCAUGUUUAAAAAAAAAAAAAAAAACCACUUAGUCAUUAAUUGUUACAAGCUGUCCAUAUACUAUUCCACCACUUAUCCUGACGGAAUACUUAAAUUAAAUCCUACGUCAUCAUGUUCAACAUGUCUCUACCACUUUCUAAUUGGUAGCCACAAGUUUUCAAUUCCAUUUAUUAAUAAUAAAUUGAAAACAAAAUCAAACUUUCAAAUACUCGCAACAACGUAUGUGAUUUUUUUUCAUCAAAUAAAUCCAUAAAAAGAAUAGUCUCAUUACUAUUAUUUUUUAUUAAAAGAAAAAAAAAAUUCUCGAUAAAAAAUUCAAUUAACUAUUUUCUGGACACCCAAAGCGUUACACCAAGGGGAAAAGAAAAGGAUCAUACAAGUUAAAGUUAAUUAAUUUGACAAAAAAAAAUCAAAUUUGUUUCAUCAUCUCCCAUUAUUAUUUCUAGGAAGAUGUGGUGUGGUGUGACGUAGAACUAAUUAGCUCUUAACAAACAAAUUGAGCAAAAAAUAAUAUCCAAAUUAUGUCCUAUAUAUACCAGUUUAGGCUAGGGGUGUAUAGAGUAGAGAGAUAUCUAGUAGUACUCCCUCUGCCUAUCUCAUUCUCCUCCUAAGUCCUAACAAAUAACAAUGGCCGGGAACGAGGUGGUCCUUCAAAUGGAGGAGCACCGGAAAGUAGUCGCUGAUCAGUUUGGAAAACCUGCGGAUGGCAGUGAUCAUAUGAAAGCCUUGGCUGACUUAAAAUCCAAAUUUCGUCGACUAGAAAAUGAAGAGGAAUCUGAAUCUCCAUUAUCAUCAAGUGUAAAGCCACAACGUCCCUUAUCAUCAAGUGUAAAGCCACAAUGUCCCAUGGUUCCAAAGAGGUUGCGACCAGAUGUCAAGGGUGCUGAAGACUACUACUAUGCGCCAAAACUCAUUUCUUUGGGUCCUUACCACCAUGGCAAGCCCCACCUCAAGGAUGGAGAAACGCUCAAGCUUAAAUUGGCAGAAGCCUACAUCCAAGAAUGUGAGCCAACAGUGGAUGAAAUUUACAACACAAUUAGCGAUAGCAUUAGUGAGCUGAGGGGCUGUUAUGAUGCGGAGUCGACAAAGAAAUAUAAGGAUGACGAAUUAACCAUCAUGAUGCUGGUGGACGGGUGUGCUCUACUCUGUUACAUUUUAUGCGUUUGCUUAGGUUAUGGCCAUGAAGAUUUCAAUAUCAGAUAUCAGGAUAUAAGCCUUCUGCACCAGGAUGCGUUGCUGCUGGAAAACCAACUUCCCUAUCAAUUACUCCUUGAGCUGAUGAAGAUGGUGGACCCAGGAUCAGCCAAUGAUUUUUGGACGGCCAUGUUCCAGGAAUUCUUCGGCAUCAGCGACGAGUCAAUAUUUCAGGAAUUUAUCGGUAUGAAGAAGAAGGAGUCAUUCCUGCAAAAAAUGAAGAAUUAUUGCCCCCGCCUAUUCCUCCCAAUCAACCAAAUUAUUGACCCCAAAUCGAAGCCGCAAAGUCCUAAUAACGAGUCAAAGCCUUGUCAUCAUCUCCUCGAUCUCUUCCGAAGAAAUUUCCUAGGCGAUGAACGUUCCGGCAGCCCAACGCACCCAGAAAAUGAAAAUUUGGAAGGUCCUUCGUCAUCGGAAACUGAAAUUGGCCGGAGGCUGGGUAGAGCAUCAGUUAGAGAUGUGAAGGAGGUUAUGGCAUCAUUUAGAAAUGUGAAGGAGCUGAUGGACGCUGGAAUCCGCAUCAAGCGCAGUCCUACACGUCACUUGAGGGACAUUUCUUUCCGUUCAAAUGGGAUCACCGCAUGCCUGAGAAUUCCUCCCAUCACCAUUGAUAACUCAACCAAGGCUAUGUUCUUGAACUUGAUAGCCUAUGAAAUGAGCUCAGACGUCGACCAUGACUUCAUCUCUUACCUUCGCUUCCUUGAUUCCCUCAUUGAUCAUGCUGAUGACGUUAAGGAGCUGCAGUCCAUCGGGAUACUCCAAAACAAUCUAGGAACCCACGACGAAGUAGCUCAAUUCUUCAACACCGUGUCCGCCAACUUGGAAUCCAACUUUCAUGCUUACAAAGACGUGAGAGUGAAAAUUCGGAAGCACCUUCAGAGUCACUAUAACAGCAAACUGACAAUGUGGAUGACACAAUGCCUGGACACCUAUUUCGGUAGCCCCUGGACUAUCAUAGCUUGGGUUGGUGCAGCUUUGGCCCUAUUCCUUACUUUCGUCCAGACUUACUUCUCAGUCUUCCCUCAUUGAUGCAUGCCUGCCCUCUUUUCAACUAUCACCGUCUCAAUUAAGGUAAUAUCCACUCCAAAUUUCCUUGUUCUUCUUGCUAUCUGCAUUUUACCUAGUCCAUGUAAAUUAAGCAAAGACUCAUUGGCUUCAUGCGCUUUUGACCUUACCUAUUUUGUGUUUUUGGUUUCAGCCUAUUUUCUACAUUGCUUUCCGUGCUUAAAUUAAGUAACGAAUGAAUAUGUAGUGUGACCUUAGUUUGGUGAUUUUGUGCUUUCGCAAGCAUGUGCUAUGCUUAUAUAUAUGCAUCAUCAGCAAUAUUAUGUUUGAUUUAAGUACGUAAAUAAAGAUAGAUAUAGGUGGAAUAUUUUUUUUUCUAUGUUUAUAUUCCUGUUAAUGUAUUAUAUAUAUGUUAGGUCUGGCAAUUUUUUAUCUCAUACCAUUUUUAAUUAAAUCAUUUUUAAACUAUAGUUACUAAGCCAAAAAUUAUAAUGCUCUAGAAAUAUAAUCAAUCUCAUUGUCGAAUUUUUCUAAACUAAUCUCAGAAUAAGCUCGAUAUCUCUAACAAUAUAUUAUUUAAGGCACAUAAUAUUCCAAAAAAAAUUCUGCAAAAGAAAAAGAAAUUUGUUGAGAAGUGGUUUAUUUUAGUUGAUCUCUUAUUAUAUUUAGGAAUAUGGACAAAAUGUUAUAUUUAGGAAUAUGAACAAAACAACAUUUUGUCCGAUAGAAAUUUACCCAUCAAUAUGAAUGGAUAGAAAUUUACCCAUCAACAUGAAUGGUAUGGAAAUUUGACUAAUGCUUGUAAGAUCGGAUUUGUAAAUAUUUGUGGGUGAGUUUCUUUUGACAACCGAUGGACAAAUUCAUGUCAUGUAAGACUUAUUUGACAACAUUCUAAAAUAAUGUUGCUAAAAAUAUUUAAGAAUAGUUCUGAAAAUAUGUUUUACCUGUUUUUAGGAAUAAAAUUCUAACUUAUUUUGAGAAUAUUCUUAAAAAAAAAAGAAAAAAAAAAAGAGAGAAUGUUGUUAAAACUUGUUAAGAAUAUUUUUAAAAAUAUGUUUUAUUUGUUUUUAGGAAUAAAAUUCCAUUUAAGAAGCCUAGUCCUUCGCAAAGGCAUGUGCCACCAUCUAUAAUGGAAGAAGUUCACACCUAUUUUUCAUUUUUUUUUUGUUCUUUUUUUAAAACACUUGCAUAGCUUCUGGAUUAAAGUUCUUAAAGAUUAUUUUCAAAAUUUGAUGUAAUAAUUUAAAAAAAAAUUACUAUAAAUAUAUAUAUAUAUAUAUAGAGUUACUAUUAUUUUUAAUUUUACAAAAUAAAAAACAAAAAAUGUACCUAAAGGAUACCUUAAUUUCAACUUAUUAACUAUAUGUAAAAUUAAAAGUAUUUUUCUCCUUUUCAACUUGUUACAUACUUCAGUGCUUGUAUAUUGCUUCCAUACCAUAUGAUAAGAUGUGGCUAAAAUUGAUCUUCAUGUCAAGAAUUGGAAGCCUUCAAUAUGUUGUAAUUGCUUAAAAGAUUUCGCUUUGAGUUAUGUUUCUUGUGGGGUGAUGGCAAAGAAAACCAACAAAUUAAUAGAAAAACUAUAAAUAUAAUUCAGAAUUAAGGAAAAAAGAAAUACAAUAUUGAAGGUGCAGUAGAAUAAAAAGGAGUGUGGGCAUGAAUGAUAUGUAAAAACUCACCCAAUAGAAUCCUUUAUGAAGUAAAUAUUUUCAUAUCAUACGAUCCAAUGUUAAUCCUUCAUAACCUAUGGAACUGUAGAACCUUGAGAGGAAAAAAGCCACUCACAAAUUAUGACACAAACAGAAACUAGGAACAGUGGAAGAAAAUUGAAAAACUGAUCUCCCUUUCCGAGUCCAGCAACAAAAUUAGUGUCCAACCUUAAAAUGGGCAUGUGUGGUAUUGACGAGAGAUGCUAAGAUGGAAAUCAUAACCAUAGUCAUGUUCUCUCUGUGUCUUUGUGUCUUUCUAACCCACUUUUUUUAAGAAAAUAAUAGACCAAGACUAUAAUUAUCAAUUAUGACUUUAUUGUUUAAUUUAUAUUCUUUAACAAUUUUUUUAUUUUUUUAAGAAUAAUUUGUUUUACUAUAAUGGUAGGUGAUGAAUUUAUUUUCUUAAUAAAAGGCCUCCCAAUAAGGCAAUAGUUUCAUGUUUUUUUUUUAUCCUCUGCUUUUGUUGCAACUCUUCUGCUUCCGACCUUUCAUUAACCUAAAUAUUAGAAGUUUCUAAUUCAGUCCAUUGCACUCCAGUUGUCUAAAUACGGAAGCUUCUUCCACGACCCAGUUGCACUUUGGAAAGUUAAGCUUAAGAUUUACGAAGUUUCUGAAAAUUACAGUUUAUUUAGUUUCUAAAAUCCAAUUAGCUAGAUAUUUUAUUUGAUUUCUUUUUAUAUUUAAGUAGUUGAGUUUUGGAAAGUUUUUAUAUUUUAUUAAUAGAAAAAAAAAAUUUAUAUUUUUUAUUAUUAGGAAUUUCUAUUUUGUUAAAUUGUAAGUAUCUAUCUCAAUAAGAGAUUAUUAAUAUUCGAAUGAAAGUGAUGAAAGAUAGUAAAUAUUUUAAUGCUCCUCAAUUAUAUUUUAAUGUUAUUUUUUUACAUGAGGGUUAAUUCAAUUUUAAUUUCAACAUGUAAUAUGUUAAAAAUAUUAUAAAAUAGAACUAUAAAGGAGUAUUUACUUAUUUUAUAAUAUUUUCAAUCUACAAUUUUCAAAAAUCAAUAUUUAAAAAAGGUAUUAAAACAUCCCUUCUCUUCAAUAUAAAAGCAUUAUUGUAACAUAUUGUGGACCCCGCAUUUUGCCCAAUGCGUUCCCACUCGAUGACAAAACUCGCUUUCUAUUUAUUUUGUGAAAAAUAUGAUUUUUUUCAAAAGACUUAGAGUCGCCACUUAUUUUUGUUUUAUUUUUAAAGGAAAAACAAAAUAAGAAAGAAAAACCCUAAAUGUGAUUCCUUAUUUGGAAAAAAUAGGUCUGUGAAAAAUCACGUCGGGUCCGAGGGUCAGGUUACUUAUUGGAAAAGUACGGUGGUGAGCCAUAACACCCCUCUAAGUCCAUAAAAACGGGUCUCUACUAAUAAAAUGAAGCAAACAUGACAAUUGGUAAGGAAAUCAAUGGAUACAAAAGUGAUCACAAAUUAAAAGUAAUCAUGAUAAUGAAUAAAUGAACGAAGUGAGAGCGAGAGUGUACCUUGGCAGCAGGUAAUAAAGCGUUAUUAUGAAACAAAGUUAGUGCACAAUAACAAAUACAAAAUAUAUCACAUGCAUGUCAAAUAUUAGAACAAAAAAAAAAAAAAUAUUCAUUAGGCAUAGCAAUUAACAAUCAGAAGAGAAAUCUCAUAUGUAGGGUCCCCCACCAAAGCCCAAUUUAUCUUGCAUGCAUUGGUCUCACAAAUUUUAUUAUUUCGAAAUUAUGAAAAAUUCAUUCUUACUUAUGAAAAAUCAAAAGAAACAGAAGAUUAUUUGAAAACCGGAGUGGAAUUAAAACUGUUCAAAAUUUGUUUGAAAAUUGGAGUCUCGAAAAUUAUUUGAAAAUUGGAGUCUUGGGAAUUAAAUUUAAGAAUUGGAAUUUUGGAAAUUAAAUUUGAAAGAAAUUGGAAUUUUUUAAAAUUAUUUAAGAAUUAGAGUUUUUAAAAUUAUAUUAAGGAAUUGGAACUUUAGAAAUUAAAUUUGAAAGAAAUUAGCAAAUUAUUUGAGAAUUAGAGUUAUGAAAAUUAAAUUAUGAAAAUUGGAAUCUUGGAAAUUAUUUGAAGAUGGAAAAAAUAAACAAAAUAAUAAUAGUAAUAAUAAAUAAAUAAAUAAAUAAAUGUGAAAAUUGGAAUUUCGGAAAUUGGAAAUUAAAUUCGGAAAUUGAAAAAUUGGAAUUUCAAAAAUUGAGAAUUAAAAUUGAAAAUCAGAAUUUUGAAGAAUUAUUUACAAAUGGAAUUUUAAAAAUAAAUUAAUUAAUUAAAUAAUGAUAAUAACGAAGAUAACAAUGAUUAAAUAAAUAAAUUUGAAAAUUAGAAUUUUGGAAAUUGGAAAUUAAAUUCGAAAAUUAGAAAAUUGGAAUUUAGGAAAUUCGGAAUUGAAUUUGGAAAUCGGAAUUUUGAAGAAUUAUUUAAAAAUAGAAUUUUAAAAAUAAAUUAAAUAAUGAUAAUAACGAAUAUGAUAAUGAUUAAAUAAAUAAAUAUGAAAAUUAGAAUUUUAGAAAUUGGAAAUUAAAUUCGGAAAAUUGUAAUUUAGGAAAUUGGAAAUUGAAUUUGGGAAUCGAAAUUUUGAAGAAUUAUUUAAAGAUGAAAUUUUAAAAAUAAAUAAAUUAAUUAAUUAAAUAAUGAUAAUAACGAAGAUAGCAAUGAUUAAAUAAAUAAAUUUGAAAAUUAGAAUUUUGGAAAUUGGAAAUUAAAUUCGGAAAUUGAAAAAUUGGAAUUUUGGAAAUUGGGAAUUGAAUUUGGAAAUCGGAAUUUUGAAGAAUUAUUUAAAGAUGAAAUUUUUGAAAACUUGAUUUAAAAGGAGAUGGAGUUUCAAAAAUUUAUUUGAAGGUGUCAUUUUAAAAAUUAAAUUUAGAAUUGUGGAAUUUUUGGAAGAUUAAAAUUAAAAUUUUGAAUUUGGGAAAAUUAAAUUUAAAGUUAGAGUUUUAGAAAAUUAUUUCAAGAAUUGAAUUUUGAAGAAUUAAAUUUAAAAUAUUGAAGUUUUGGAAAAUUGAACUUAAGAUCUGAAAUUUCGUAAACUAAAUUUAAAAAUCAAAUUUUACAAGAUUAUUUCGAAAAGGGUACUUAUAUAUAUAUAUAUAUAUAUAUAUUAAUAAAAUAAUAAAUAAAUAGAUAAAUAAAAAUAAAUAAAUAAAGCAAAUAAAAUGAAUGAAUAAAUGAAUAAAUUUGAAACUUUGGGAUUUUAGAAGAAUUAUUUGAUAACAGAAUUUAAAAAAAAAAUGAAAUUUUUAACAUGAAAAGUGGAAUUACGAAGAUGGCACGUGAAAGAAAAGAUAAAAAACUAAUAAUAAUUCACCAUGAGGCCACUGGACCCAUGCCACUAAUAAAAAAAAAACUCAUGCCUUUGACUUUUCAUUCACCAAUUGUUUAAACAAUUUCCUACUGUCAAUGAACCACCAAGAAGUGGAGUAAUGAAGCCCCACUUCUCCACGAAAAAAAAAAAAACACCAGUAUGUAUCUGACUAGUGAUGACAAACUGUGGUGGCGAACAAGGAUAGAAGACGAUGUAGAGUUUGGAAGGCCCCAAAUCACCACUUGGGAGACUUUGAAGAAGGAAUUGAAGGAUCAGUUCCUUCCCACCAACAUUGCUUGGGUGGCCAAAGAAGCGUUGAAAAGGGUCAAACACACCGGAUCUGUAAGGGACUACGUCAAGGAAUUCAGUUCCUUGAUGCUGGACAUAAAGAACAUGUCAGAUGAGGACAAGCUCUUCAAUUUCAUGUCUAGAUUGCAAGGGUGGGCUCAAACGGAACUUAGGAGGCAAGAGAUUCGUGAUCUCCCUGUUGCCAUGGUUGCAGCAGAUUGCCUGGUGGACUACAAGAUGGGUGGCGCCAUCUCCACCAUGUAGAGACCUAAGUCAGAAGGAGGUAAGAAGGCUAAGGUUGAGGGCAAGACUUCUAAGAAAUCUGGGUGGAAGAAACAGAACAAGAAGCCUGUUGUAGAGGGAAAACCAGUGGAAAAGACCAUAAAGUUUGUGCAGCAGACCACCCGGAUGGUAGGAUGUUUCAUCUGCAAUGGCCCUCAUCGAGCCAGAGACUGCCCCAAAAGAAAGAAACUCUCAGCCCUUGUGACUGUAGACGACAAGGGAGAGUCUGACUUAGAGACUCCUCUUAGAGUCAACCCACUGCAACUCCUGAACGUGAUUAAUGGUGAGACUCCAGUCCAUAAGUCCCUAAUGCAUGUCCAUGCAGUUGUAAAUGGUGUGCAGGUGAAGGCCUUGGUGGACAGUAGUGCCACGCACAACUUCGUGGCCACCAGAGAAGCAACCAGGUUGGGAUUGAAGUUGGAAGAGGAUACUAAUUAGAUCAAGGCAGUCAAUAGCAAAGCCCAGAAAAUCCAAGGGGUAGCAAAGAAUGUCCCCAUGCAAAUUAGUGACCGGAAGGGCACAUGCAACCUACUUUGUGUACCCUUGGACGACUUCAACUUGAUCAUCGGUGUAGAUUUCCUCUUGAGGGCUAAGGUGGCCUUGAUCCCACAUCUUGGUGGGCUGGUGGUGUUAGAAGAAAAGCAGUCUUAUUUCAUGAAGGCCUUGAGGGUGAAGGAUGGUGGCAAGGGUUAACAUGAGAUGCUGUCUACUAUCCAUUUGAAGAAGGGAUUGAAGAGGGGUCAGGAGACUUAUGUUACAACCUUGAUCGAGAUCAAGGAGAGAUAGUCUGUGGAAGUCCCUGAUUCAGUGGUCAAAAUCCUUAAGGAGUUCAGAGAUGUGAUGUCUGCAGAACUCCCCAAAGAAAUGCCACCUAGGCGGCCUAUUGACCACAAGAUUGAAUUGCUACCUGGAACAAAGGCCCCGGCUUAAGCUCCUUACAGGAUGCCUCCUGCGGAGUUGUUGGUGUUACGUAAGUAAUUGAAGGAACUGUUGGAUGCAGGCCUGAUCCAGCCCUCAAGGGCCCCAUAUGGUGCACCAAUGAUGUUCCAAAAGAAGCAUGAUGGCUCUCUCCGCAUGUGUGUAGAUUAUAGAGCUCUCAACAAGGUGACCAUCAAGAACAAGUACCCGAUCCCCUUGGCUGCCGAGCUGUUUGACAGAUUGUCAAAAGCCUCUUACUUCACCAAGUUGGACCUAAGAUCGACUACUGGCAAGUGCGAAUUGCAGUAAGAGAUGAGAAGAAUACCACCUGUGUAACUCGGUAUGGAUCAUACGAGUUUCUGGUAAUGCCAUUUNNNNNNNNNNNNNNNNNNNNNNNNNNNNNNNNNNNNNNNNNNNNNNNNNNNNNNNNNNNNNNNNNNNNNNNNNNNNNNNNNNNNNNNNNNNNNNNNNNNNUAAUGCCCCUGCUACAUUCUGCAAUUUGAUGAAUGAUGUUCUGUUUGAUUACUUAGAUGCAUUUGUGGUAGUGUAUCUAGAUGAUAUUGUGGUUUACAGUAAGACUCUAACAGAACAUGAGAAACACUUGAGAUUGGUGUUUCAGAGAUUGAGGGAGAACAUGCUUUAUGUAAAGCCAAAGAAAUGUGAGUUUGCUCAGGAGGAUAUCACAUUUCUAGGACACAAGAUCAGUGCAGGUCUGAUCAAGAUGGAUAAAGGCAAGGUGCAGGCUAUUAUGGAGUGGCCAGUCCUUAGCAAAGUGACUGAGUUGCGGUCCUUCCUUGGCUUGGCCAAUUACUACAGAAGGUUCAUUAAGGGGCAUUCAAAGAGGGUGUCUCCCCUUACUGACCUAUUGAAGAAGGACAACCAGUGGAGUGGAGCAUGUAGUGUCAGAUGGCCUUUGAAGGCUUGAAGGAAGCCAUCUCCACUGAGCUUGUGCUACGUUUGCCAGACUUAGACUUACCCUUUGAAGUCCAGACAAAUGCCUCAAAUAGAGCUUUGGGUGGAGUCUUGGUGCAAGAAGGGCACCCUAUGGCAUUUGAAAGUAGGAAGUUGAAUAAUGUUGAGCAGAGGUACUCCACUCAUGAGAAGGGGAUGAUAAUUGUGGUUCACUGCCUGCAGCAGUGGAGACACUACUUAUUGGGAAGCAUUUUUACAGUGGUCACUGAUAAUGUGGCCAACACCUUCUUCAAAACUCAAAAGAAGCUGAGUCCCAGACAAACACGAUGGUAGGAGUUCCUGGCCAACUUCAAAUUUGAAUGGCUGCAUCGACCAGGAAGACAUAACACUGUGGCUGAUGGCUUCAGUAGGAAAGAGGUGAUUGCCUACAUCAUGGCCCUCUCAGAAGUCAUCUUUGACUUCAAUAAGAAAAUCAAGCAAGUUGCAGAGUAGGAUGCUGCAUAUGGCAGGUUGAAGCGGCAAGUUAAGGAGGGUGUGAUAAGGAGGUAUUGGCUAGAGGGAGACCUCCUUGUGGCAAAAAGAGGAAGAUGGUAUGUUCCUGCAGGCGGCCUGAGAAAUGAAUUAUUGCAGAAAACUCAUGACGCAAAGUGGGCAGGUCAUUCCGGUGAAGAGAAGACUCUGGCACUGCUAGCCAUAUCCUACUAUUGACCUAAGAUGGGUGAGGAUGUCCAGGCAUAUGUGAAAUCCUAUCUGGUUUGUCAGAUGGACAAGACCAAGAUGAAGAAGGUUGUAGGGUUGCUACAACCCCUCUCCAUUCCAGAGAAACCUUAGGAGAGCAUUUCCAUGGAUUUCAUCACUGGAUUUCCAAAGGUUUGUGACUUUAAAUCUAUCUUUGUUGUUGUAGAUAGAUUCUUUAAGUAUGUUGUGUUUAUACCUGCCUCUGAUGCUUGCUCUACGGAGGAAGCGACUAAGUUGUUUUUCAGUAAUGUUGUCAAGCACUUUGGGUUGCCUAGGGACAUAGUCAAUGAUCGAGAUGCACGGUUCAUAGGCCGAUUUUGGGUUGAGUUGUUCAAACUCUUGGGUUCAUAGUUGAAGUUUUCUACAGCCAACUACCCUCAUACUGUCGGUACUCGCACGGAUUCUACCAUUUCCCGGUAUUCGCCGGGAUUUUACGAUUUUUCGUUAUUCGCUCGGAUUCUACCAUUUUCAUUUAGUCACACUGAUUCAACCCUUUUCCGGUACUCGCCCGAACAGUUUUUCGGUACUCGCACGGAUUCUACCAUUUCCCGGUAUUCGUUGGGAUUUUACGAUUUUUCGGUAUUCGCCCGGAUUCUACCAUUUUCAUUCAGUCACACUGAUUCAACCCUUUUCCGAUACUCGCCCGGAGAGUUUUUCGGUAUUCGCACGGAUUCUACCAUUUCCCGGUAUUCGCCGGGAUUUUACGAUUUUUCGGUAUUCGCUCGGAUUCUACCAUUGUCAUUUAGUCACACUGAUUGAACCCUUAUCCGGUACUCGCCUGGAGAGUUUUUCGAUACUCGCACGGAUUCUACCAUUUCCCAGUAUUCGGUUGGAUUUUACGAUUUUUCGGUAUUCGCUCGGAUUCUACCAUUUUCAUUUAGUCACACUGAUUCAACCCUUUUUCGGUACUCGCCCGAACAGUUUUUCAGUAGUCGCACGGAUUCUACCAUUUCCUGGUAUUCGUUGGGAUUUUACGAUUUUUCGGUAUUCGCUCGGAUUCUACCAUUGUCAUUUAGUCACACUGAUUGAACCCUUAUCCGGUACUCGCCUGAAGAGUUUUUCGAUACUCGCACGGAUUCUACCAUUUCCCGGUAUUCGGUUGGAUUUUACNNNNNNNNNNNNNNNNNNNNNNNNNNNNNNNNNNNNNNNNNNNNNNNNNNNNNNNNNNNNNNNNNNNNNNNNNNNNNNNNNNNNNNNNNNNNNNNNNNNNCAUGACGCAAAGUGGGCAGGUCAUUCCGGUGAAGAGAAGACUCUGGCACUGCUAGCCAUAUCCUACUAUUGACCUAAGAUGGGUGAGGAUGUCCAGGCAUAUGUGAAAUCCUAUCUGGUUUGUCAGAUGGACAAGACCAAGAUGAAGAAGGUUGUAGGGUUGCUACAACCCCUCUCCAUUCCAGAGAAACCUUAGGAGAGCAUUUCCAUGGAUUUCAUCACUGGAUUUCCAAAGGUUUGUGACUUUAAAUCUAUCUUUGUUGUUGUAGAUAGAUUCUUUAAGUAUGUUGUGUUUAUACCUGCCUCUGAUGCUUGCUCUACGGAGGAAGCGACUAAGUUGUUUUUCAGUAAUGUUGUCAAGCACUUUGGGUUGCCUAGGGACAUAGUCAAUGAUCGAGAUGCACGGUUCAUAGGCCGAUUUUGGGUUGAGUUGUUCAAACUCUUGGGUUCAUAGUUGAAGUUUUCUACAGCCAACUACCCUCAUACUGAUGGGCAGACUGAGAGAAUCAACGCCUUGCUGGAAGAAUACCUCAAGCAUUAUGUGACAGCAAUACAAAAGAAUUGGGUGGAUUUGUUAGAUACUGCCUAGUUGUGUUAUAAUCUGCAGAGGAGCUCAACAACAAGGAUGAGUCCCUUUGAGCUGGCUAUUGGGGUACAGCCACAGAUGCCUUUGGAGGUAGCUAAGCAAAAAGCAGAAGGAGGUAGUCCUGCAGCUUACAAGAUGGCUCAAUCCCGGCAUGAGAUGUUUGAUGAAGCCCGGGACAGUCUAGAGAAGGCAGUUAGAUGAAUGAAGAAGUAUGCGGAUCAUGACCGCAAAUCCUUGGAAUUUUAGGUUGGGGACAAGGUCCUCUUGAAAUUGACUCAUAAGAUAUGGAAGAAAAUCAGUAGCAAGACAAGGCAGAGGAGUCUAAUUCCUAAGUAUGAUGGACCAUUCGAGGUGAUAAAACGAGUUGGGCAGAUGACCUACAUGUUGAAGCUGCCUGAGAGGCUCAAGCUUCACCUAACUUUCCAUGUUAGCUUUCUAAAUCUUUACCAUGAGGAUCUGGAUGUAGAGAGAGUGCAAAUAAAGCGGGCCCUUCUCUUGGUCAUGAAGCAGUUUGAUCGAGAGAUAGAGAAAAUCUUAAAUCAUAGGACCAUGGGACAUAGCAGAAAGAACCGACGAACUGAUUUCUUGGUUUAGUGGAAGUGGACUUCAAAAGUAGAAGCUACAUGGGAGAGGAAUGUUACCUUAUGGCAAUUUGAGACGGCGGUCCAAACAUAUUGGUAGACUAAGUCGACGAGGGUGUCAACUUCAAUAGGCGGGGGUGGGUUUGUCAGCCCCUUAACCACUUGACUCUACCAUGGAGGAAAAGGCCUCAUGGGUAAACCUUGCACCCAUGAGAGCCUAGACGGAGAAAGCAAGGAAGACUUAGAGGUUUGGUGGUUCAAACUCCAAGAGCUAAGUGAGAAGGCCAUGUGUGAGCUAGACACGCACCGUGGACGAGCCUGACGCACACCGUGCGUGCAUCGCGAGCGAGUCAAACAAGCACCGCGUGCGCAUUAGAUGGGCACCGCGUGCACACUAGAUGGGCAUCGCGCGCGCACCAAUCUUAGGUAGUGCAGAUGAAGGCUGAAGGCUACUUUUGGAAUUUAAUUUAUAUUUAUUUAAUAUUCCAUUAUGUCUCAUCAGGCAUAUUAAUGUCUCCUCCAGAAACAAUGAAAACGACUUGUAUUACUCUUUAGGGGGGGGGGGGGGGGGGGGGGGGGGGGGGGGAGGAGGUAAGCAACUCAAAAAGGGAAGCACCAAGGGAAAGCCUUGACCGCACCAAGAGGGCACCAUGACACGACCUUGGGCGUGCCUAGGACACACGGAUAGGACUCGAGCACGCACACAUGGGCUCCACGACAUGUGUGGUGUGCACCACGUGGCCACAACGGCACGGGGCCUGGUGCGGCCUACCUCCUCCUCGUGUAGGCAUGAGGACGCCUAAACCUUGUGCAGUGAGCCAGUUGAGGAAGUCAUGGGCGCAAUACCAUGGCUUGAUGGGGCAUUAAACAACAAUUGACUAGCACCCAUGAUGCCUACGUACAGCACAAGGGCGCAAUGCCCUGUGCACUAAGAGGGAUCAGUCAUGAACGCAAUGUCAUGGCUCGUUGCUAUGAAGUUGGACCUCACAUUGGAAGCAAGCAACAUGCCCAAGCCAUGGGCACCUAAACAUGACAUGGGCUCACAUAUCAGUGUGGGGAAGACACACUGAUGCACCAGACACUUGGUCAGCUGGUUGGUGCACGUUGCCUAGUUCUGAAGGCCUUGAUCAAAGACACGCUGGUGGGCACCAGGUCAUAAGAGGCACCUUGCGGGAAAGGAGGCAACUUGUUAAGGGGACUCUUCAGCAGCUUGGUGAGAAAGGCUUGAGGAGAUGGCAAUGCAACAAGCUAGUGGCAGCUAGUUGGGAUAGCAAGUGAUCAAGUCAAGCAGCCAAUUGACUUGCAGUUGGCUGAGGUGUUGAUGGCUGGUGCAAGUGGGUGGUUCACGAGCAGGCCACUAUCUGGGUGGUGGGUGGUUAUGCAGGACAGUUAUGGGCGCAUUUGGCCAAUUGCAUAACCACUAGAUUGGCUUCAACUUUUAAAUUUGGUAAUUCAAAAAUGUAACUGCAGAAUGAGUCUUUUAAAAGGGCUCCUGCAUCCUUGAAAUAGAGAGUGAGAGAUUGGGAUAGGGUUCUCUUAAUGCUUGGGGUGUGAAGUAUUGUACUAUGACUCAGGGGAAACAAUUUUGUCUUGUAGAGUGAAUUAAUACAAGUUGGGAAAGGUUUCCUGUAAAUCGUUGGUGUCCCUGUUACUGUGCUUUUACUUUGCUUUUACUCUAUUUUUGAAAAGGCUGGGAAGGAAGGUUGGCUAAGGAAGGGUCCUUAGCACCGCACACUCGUGAAAAAUUUAGUGUGAUCUUCAGGGGGGUGUAACAGUGAGUAUAGUGUCGGGUUUGAGCAUCUCCAAGCAUUUCAAUAUGGUUCAAAUGGCUCUCAAACAUCCAGAAAUUCCCAACAGUAUGAAAAAUGGCUCUCAUGGUGCUCUCCCAGAAACACCUCCACCCAAGAUGGCCAACCUCAAACGUAAUGCCCAACACUCUAAAAUAUACCAAAAGCAGAGGAGAAAGUAAACAAAAGCAAAGCAUGCACAAACGUAAAUGAUACCGUUAAACCUAGCUCCAUUUCAUAAAGAUCAAUGGGCUGGAUAUAGGCGGAACCAAAAGAAAGCAAGAACGUGAUCUUCAAAACCUUAUUCAAGCAUCAAGAUGAACCCAAAAUUGGCGGGAAAUGAAAUAGAACAAACCGAAAUGGGAAAUGCAAAGCAUGCUAAAAUCAUACCUGACCAAAACGACAGGCUUUUCCUCUGCUCAAACUCGGAAUGUCCCUUUCUCCUAUCUUUCUUAGCUAGCUCUGCUACCCUUCCUCCAUGUCUCCUAUCAGCUGGGUUUUUCUUAUUUUCUCAGCCCGCUUCAUAACCACCAGAAAAACGAAAAAAAAUCUCUUCUUACCUCCUUCCAGCUUACUUCUCCUCCAAGCUAUAUCCAUAUCCCAUCUCAUUUGGCAACCCAAUAGCUCACCCAUCAGUCCUCUUUGGCUGCCCCAAAAACAGCUCACUUCUAAGGUAGUCAGAAAAAGAAAAAAAGAAGAAAGAAGGAAAAAAAAAAUGCUUCCAUCCGAGGGGGUCUACACAUAUACAUUUUGUUCUAAUUUUCUAAUAGUUGUGCACAGUUGAAGGGAAAACAAUUUGAUUUUCUAAUUAAUAUUACUUUUAUAAAUACUUUAAUUACUUUUAUAAAAUUGAUUCAUAAUGAUUUUAUUAUUUCUUUGGAACUCAUAAAAUAAAUCUAAUUACGACAGAAAAAGAAAAAGAGAAAAGUGAGUUUUGAUCACUAAUUUGAAAAAUACAAAAAUAAAAAACUUCAGCUUUUAUAAAUCAUUUGUAUCUUCAUUUAUUUAAAAUUAUUUUAAAAUACAUGCACUUUUUUAUAACUCAAAUAAUUAUUUCCUAAAAUGACCUUAUUAUUUAUGAUGUUAAUAAUAUCAUUUUUUUUUAACCAUGAGAACCUAUUUGAGAUUAAUAAAAUGAGAAAUUUUAAAAAUUUUAAAUACAAUUAAAACUAAAAAAACUUUAAAGUUAAAAAUAUAAAAAUAAAAUAUUAUAUUUUUUUAUUAUAUUUUUGGUUUUUAAUUGUAUUUAAUUUUUAUGUAUUUUAGUUUUAAUUAUAUUUUUAAAUUUUAUAAAUUUCUUAUGUUAUCCUUAAUUGAUGUCAACUAAUAAAAUUUAUAUUCAAUUUUAUUUAUUUUUUUUAAAUGAGAAGAUGUGGGGGUUUAUCUAAUACAAAACAUAAAAUCAUAUUAACUAGGGGAUUAACAAGAUUUUAUUUAUUACUUGAUGAUGUUGGAAAAUUUUUCCACGAUGAUUUGUAUCUUAUGUUAUAUAAUAAAAUUUUAUAAUAUAUUUAUUUAUAAAAUAUUUUUAUCAAAUUAAAAUAAUAAAUUUGGAUAAAUUCAUUUAAUAUUAUCAAAUAAAAAUGUAUUUUAGGAAAUAAUUAUUUAACUUAUGAAAAAGUGUAUAUAUUUUAAAAAAAAUUAAAUGGAUAAAGAUAAAAUUGAUUUAUAAAAUUUAAUUUUUUUUUUCUAUAUUUUUUCAAAUUAGGUUAAAACCCACUUUUUCUCAAAAAAAUAAUAGACCAAAUCUAUAAUUAUCAAUUACAAACCUACAAUUAUCAAUUAUGACUUUAUUGUUUAAUUUAUAUUCUUUAACGAAUUUUUAAAAUUUUUAAGAAUAAUUUGUAAUUCAAAAAAUUGGUCCAUUUAAUUACAAAUUAAAUAAAAAAUUCCAUAAUAUGUUGUUAUCCUUGUAUGUAAUAAAAAACUCGGAUUAUUUAUAUGUUAUAAAAGUUAAAAUUUAUUUAUUUUUAAAUUAAUUUUAUAUAAAAUAUUAUUAAUUGUUAUUAUUUUUAAACAAUUAUUAUUCAUUUUUUAAAAAAAAUAAUUAUACUUUUACAAAAAUAUUAAUAUCCAUAUUUUUAUAAUAUAUAUUAAAAUAGUAUAUUUUUAUGAAAAAAAAAAUAAUUUUAUGACUUUAUUAUAAUAUUACUAUUCAUAUUUCACUAAAUUUAAUUUAUUUGUAACAACAAAAAAAACUAUUUUCAUUUUUAAUAAAACUUAAAUUAAAUCUAAUUAAUAUGGUAUAAAUAGAAUUUAUAACAUUUUUACAAAAUCAAAAUAGAAAAAAAAAAUUAAACCAAUUUAUUCAAAUAAACUUGUUUUUUCUUUUUUCUAAAUAUUUUUAAAAACAAUUUAUCUAAUACUCUUAUUUUUAUAAAAUAUUAAAAUAACAAUUUUUUUAUUUAAAAAAAAACAUGAAAAAAGCAUGGUCACAACAAACCUAAAAAUAAUUAUGAUUCUAUGUACUUUUUCAUUAAAUGUGCUAUUUUUUACCAUUCACGUGUUAUGCCUUACUGAUGUAGAUCAAAGUUACGCAUAAGAUUAAAAAUGAUUUUUGUACUGUUGCUAUUUUGACGGGUUUUUUUUUUUUCAAAUGAAACAUGCUUUUUGCCCUUUUUGCCCCCACUCUGAUUGAGGGUUUGGUUUAUUUCACUAGCACGGAGCCCUCUCCAUCUGCCAGCCUACCUGACAACUCUGAACCGCUCUUUAAGUCUUUGUUUUUCCUCUUUCAUCAAUGACACAAAUAACUCUCACAUCAGGCGUUUUAAUCUAUUACUGCCACAGGCCCACAAGCAUCAGACAAGGUAUUAAUAGAGGCUUCUCUUUGAUACACCUCAAUAACCAUCCAUGUAAGAUAUGUAUAUUAAACACUAUGAUUCAAUACAUUAUUAUAUACAAACCAGAUGAACCCAGUUACCCACAACCUAGCUUAUUAUAAUUUUUUUAUUUGAAUUAAAUUAAAUGAUUUCAUAAUAAUACUUUUUUUUAUUUUGAAAUAAUAGGUGUUGUGCAAUUUGUUUUACUUUAUUGGUAGGUUAUGAAUUAUUAUUAUUAAUAGUAAUAGUAAUAUAAUUCAAUUAAUAUUUUGUAGGAUACUCAAAAGCUUUAUAUGCACGUAACAAAAUAAAAAGACUUACGAAGACUUAAAAUUAAUGUAAUAUCUAUUCAAUUUACAUAAAUAAGUAUGAUUGUGUGAAAAAGGAGAUAAAUGAAAAAGGUAAAGAAGGUGAACAAUAAUAAAUUUGAAGGAUAUGGGAAAUAUUUGGUUAAAUUAAUAAAGAUAAAAUUGAUUCAUAAAAUUUAAGUUUUUUUUUUUAUAUUUUUUUAAAUUAGUGGGUCAAAACCCACUUUUUCUCAAAAAAUAAUAGAUCAAAACUAUAAUUAUCAAUUAUAACUUUAUUGUUUAAUUUAUAUUCUUUAACAAAUUUUUAAAAUUUUUAAGAAUAAUUUGUAAUUCAAAAAAUUGGUCCAUUUAAUUACAAAUUAAAUCAAAAUUUCCAUAAUAUGUUGUUGUCGUCGCAUGUAAUAAAAAGCUCGGAUUAUUUUAUAUGUUAUAAAAGUUAAAAUUUAUUUAUUUUUAAAUUAAAUUUAUAUAAAAUAUUAUUAAUUAUUAUUAUUUUUGAGCAAUUAUUAUUCCUUUUUAACAAAAAAUAUAUAUUUUUACAAAAAUAUUAAUAUCCAUAUUUUUAAAAUAUAUAUUAAAAUAGUAUAUGUUUUUAUGAAAAAUAUAAUUUUAUGACUUUAUUGUAAUAUUAUUAUUCAUAUUUUACUAAACACUAUUUAUGUUAAUUUAUUUGUUAUAACAAAAACUAUUUUCAUCUUUAAUAAAACUUAAAUUAAAUCUAAUUAAUAUGGUAUAAAUUGAAUUUAUAACAUUUUUACAAAAUCAAAAUAGAAAAAAAAAAUUAAAACCAAUUUAUUCAAAUAAACCUUUUUUCUUUUUUCUAAAUAUUUUUAAAAACAAUUUAUCUAACACUUAUUUUUAUAAAAUUUUAAAAAAACAAACAUGAAAAGAACAUGGUCACAACAAACCUAAAAUAAUGACGAGUCUGAACCGCUCUUUAAGUCUUUGUUUUUAUUUCACUCAGACGGAGCCCUCUCCAUUUGCCAGCCAGCCUGACAAGUCUGAACCGCUCUUUAAGUCUUUGUUUUUCCUCUUUCAUUAAUGACAAAAAUAACUCUCAUAUCAGGCGUUUUAAUCUAUUACUGCCACAAGCAUCAGACAAGGUAUUAUUAGAGGCUUCUCUUUGAUACACCUCAACAACCAUCCAUGUAAGAUAUGUAUAUUAAACACUAUGAUUCAAUACAUUAUUAUAUACAAACCAGAUGAACCCAGUUACCCACAACCUAGCUUAUUAUAAUUUUUUUUAUUUGAAUUAAAUUAAAAGAUUUCAUAAUAAUACUUUUUUUUUUUUUUUUGAAAUAAUAGGUGCUGUGCAAUUUGUUUUACUUUAUUGCUAGGUUAUGAAUUAUUAUUAUUAGUAGUAAUAGUAAUAUAAUUCAAUUAACAUUUUGUAGGAUACUCAAAAGGUUUAUAUGCGACAUAACGGAAUAAAAAGACUUACGAAGACUUAAAAUUAAUGUAAUAUCUAUUCAAUUUAUAUAGAUAAGUAUGAUUGUGUGAAAAAAGAGAUAAAUGAAAAAGGUAAAGAAGGUGAAAAAUAAUAAAUUUGAAGGAUAUGGGAAAUAUUUGGUUAAAUUUCAAACUAAUGGUAAAUAAGUAUUUUUAACCUCUAUACAGGGGGAAGUGAGUAAAAUUAUUGAAUGUAGCCAAAAAUAUAAAUAAGGUACUAGAGGCUUCUAAAUAAACGUGGAUAUGAGAAAAGGUAUAUUUAUAAAAAUUAAAUAAAAUUGUUGAAGAAACUAUUAAACUAUAAUCUAAUGCUUUACAAUCUUGUAUAAUGAGAUUAACCUAAAUUAUUAACGAAAUAUCUUAUUAUAUUUUUUAUUUAAAUUAAAUCAAAAAAAUUUGAUAAUAAUGAUUUCAUUUUUAUCUUAGGAGUAAUAGGUGUUCCUUGUGUUCUUUUGUGAUCUCUUGUGUCUAUAAUUAUAUUACUUUUUCUCACACACUCUCUUACUUGGUUAUUUGUUUGUCUUAUGUGUGCAUAUCAUAGGAUUGUUCAUUGGUGGAUGUUGUAUGGUAAUUGUAAUUUGUGCGAUUAAGGAUGAUGUUUAGUUUAGAUGAAUGUCCUUGACAAAUUUGUAAACUCCAUUUGAGAAUUUUAGGGGUUUAUGUAAUUUAUAUUUUGUCACAAGAUUGUCAAAAGGGGGAAAUUGUUAAUUAGUGCAUUAGGCUACUUAGUUUAAAUUAAAAAUUUUGUUCAAUCCAUCUUCACUUACAGACUUUUUUAGAUUAUUAUGUUUUACUAUUUAUUAAAAACUUAAGGUUAUUGCAUGAUCAAUUGGAAUAAUAUAAGUAUAGAGAUGUUCAAGAAAAGUUAAUUGGAAUCAAUUAUAGCAUGAAAUGAAUGUUAGGCUUUAAGCUAGUGAAAAAGGUUUUAAAAUUAAUUUGAAACUACUCAUGAGCCCGAGCUCAAGCAUCACUUUUAGUGUUCAAGCCAAAAUUCUAUAGGAUACUGAAUUUUUUUUUUUUGUCAUAUUUUUAGAGGUUUAUUGAAACAAAAAUUUAAAUUUCAUCUCUUGUUUAUUAUUUAAUACAAACUUUGAAAAUAAUUUAAGUAUUAGUUUUCCCACAUUCUAAACUCUUAAAAGUUCUCAUUCUUAGAUUUAUAAGAGAGAUUUGCAUCGCGAGAUGUACACUAAGGUCACAAUCAAGAUUUACAAACUAUUCGCGUUGCAUGAUUUGUUUUACUGUAAUGGUAGGUGAUGAAUUUAUUUUAGUUCACAUGUGAAAAUGAUGGGGCUAUAAAGAAAAAGAUACAAGUUAAAGUCCGACAAUUUUUUUUUAAUUGAGAUUCAUUUAUUUAUUUUUAAUUGAGAAAAAUAAAAUAUUAAUAUUAUUAGAAACUUUAUUUAUCAAUUUUUUUACUAUACAAUUUUCAUACAUCUAAUAUGUGAACUUUUUAAUAUCAUGGCAAAAGUGAAAAACAAAAAUAAAAUAUUUAAAAAAGAUUGAUCAAAUUACCAAACCAUCUUAUACUUAAAAAUAAGGCACUUAAAAAGACAAAUGACUCUUAGAAAGAGAAUUUGUAUUUUCAUCAAUUUAAGUUCUUUAUAUAUCUAUUUUAUUUGCACACUUACCUAAUUAUUUACAAUAUACUUCAAAUAAAUUUUAUUAUAUACCUUCUUUCACCUUCUUUCCUUGUUUUUUUUUUCUUUGGCAAAAAUAUUCUUCUCUCCAACUUUUUUGUUAUAAAAACAAAAUAAUAUUUGAGAUUAGUGUAAAGCUGAUUGUAAUAUUUUAAAUGUAUUUUUUAAUUGAAGUACUCAAUUAUAUUAGGUUUAUUUCAUAUAAAUAUAUUUUGAGUUUAUUAUUUAUAUAAUUUUUUUAUUAAUAUUUGUUAGAAAAAUAAUUAAUACUUAUUAAAGUUUUUUAAAGGCAACACUUACUAUUUUUUUUUUAAGAAAUACCGACCCUAAACUAAAAAGGGUAUAAUUGAAAUUCAUAAGGGAUCAAAAUUUCAAUUACAAAUUUGAUGACCGUUUUGAAUACUUGUCAACUAAUUUUAACUAUUUUGGAUAAUUUUUCCAUCGCCAAAUUGAAAGAAAGGCAAAUAAUUACAGAGAUUCGAAUGGAUCUCUAUUUGAAAUGCCCGCUUGCCCGCCCUUCAUUUAAGGACCUUUGGUUGGUUUUUCUAUGGGUGACGGGGGAAGAGAGAAACAAGAAACCAAAGGAGGAGGGUAGCUCAUUUUGGGUCUUGCCAGUUUUUGGAGAAGGAUAGCUUACUCGAAGCCGCUUCAAGCAAUACUACUUUGGCGGACCUUUUCAGGUAUGGCAGCUGUAAGCUUCUUUUUAUUUUUUAUUUUUUAUUUAUUUGCUCCAUUUUCUGCUGAUUUUCUGAUCGAUGUGGAAAUCAAGGCUUAAAUGAUUGUUUUGCUGAAUCUGAAUUUGUUUUCAUACUAAACUCUGUUUUGAUUUUAUACUGAUCCCUUUUAUUUUUCCUGUAAAUAACUACCGUAUGGAUUGUUCUUGAGUUGGAUACUUGAUAAUCAUGCCACUGCUCUAUGCUUAUCCCACUUACGUUCAAUCCCAUGGAUAACACAAUGAAAUGUAAGAUAUGGUAUAUUUAUCAAAAUCAACAAUGAGUGCCCCUAGCAUCAGACACGGUAUUAAUAGAGGCUUCUAUUUGAUAUACCUAUCCAUCCAUGUAAGAUAUGGUAUAUUUAUCAAAAUCAAAUAAAAUUCUGUGUGAAACUAUUAAACACUAUGAUUUAAUACAUUAUAGUUAUGUACAAGCCAGAUCAGCCCAGUCACCCACCACGUAGCUUAUCUUUUUUAAUUUGAAUUAAAUUAAACUACUAAAUGCAAUAUAUUUUGAGAUAUUUCUAAAAUCUGUUUGAGAGUAUUAGAGGUUUGUGUAAUAUAUUUAGUAACAAAACUUCCAAAUGAGGGUUAUUUAGUUUAAAUUGAUAAUUAUGUUCUGUUUAGGACUUUUUUAGAUUAUUAUACCUUACUUUUUAUUGAAGAUUUAAAGUUGUUGUAUAAUCAUGAAAUGGAUGUUAAGCUUUACGGAAAAUUGAUUUUAAACUAUGUAGGAGCCAACGUUCAAGCAGUACCCCCGAUGCUCAAACCAGAGUUUUAUAAAUUCUGAAAAUUUUCUUGUUCGACAUUUAUUGAGAGUGUUUUCUUUUUAAAAAAUUUUAGAUUUCAUUCUCUAGUUUUCACUCUUGAAUGCAAACUUUGAAAGAAAAAUCUAGGUAUUGGUUUUCCCACUUACCAAACUUUUAGAAGUUUGUUUUUUGAUUCCUAGGUUUGUGAGAGUGAUUUGUAUCCCCUUUGAUAUUGAGGUUGUCCAAUGGGUGCACAUGUGGUGAUAUGUGAUGAAAAAUUAGUAUAAGUAUCAAGAGAGUAAGAUUUAUGAAUAACUUUUAUCAUGUGAAUAUGUAUACCAGUUGUUUUAUAAUGAAUUUGUGUUUUGUGAUUUCUGGUAGUUUUUCCAUUUGAAUAUUCUUGUUGAUAACUGUAGGAUGAUUUUCAGGUAAACAUAAUUAUAUCUCCUGUUAUUGACCCUUUUUUACAUUCCUCAAUUAUUAGAGAGGAAUUAAAAACAAAUAUUUUGGGCUAAAGCGAAAUAAAUGCUCUAAAAAAUAUUAGUGUUGCACAAUUUAUUUUACUAUAAUGGUAGGUGAUUAAUUUGACAAAUAUAAUAUAGGAAAGCAAUGUCACAUCCCAUUCAAAUUUUGAAAAAGGCCUAAAGUAAAUUAUAGAAAUUACAUGCUGAAAUACAAGAUUUAUGGAUUGAAGUUUCUACAGAGAUAUGUGGGGUAGCACUCUGUCUAGAUAUCUCAUUCUCGUACUAACAAUGACUGUAGAGAUCGAGAUGGACCAUUUCGUGGUGCCGCAGGAAGUAGUUGCUGAUCAGGUUGUAAAUCCUGCGGAUGGCGGUAGGCAUAUUAGAACCUUGGCCAACUUAAAAUCCGAAAUUUGUCGAACACGAGACGACACUCCAUCAGAAAAAAAUGCAAAGCUAGAAUGUCCCAAGGUUCCAAAGUCGUUGUUGCCAUCAGAUGCCAUGGGUUCUGAGUCUGACGGCCACCGCAAUGAGCCAAAAAUCAUGUCUUUGGGUCCUUACCACCAUGGCAAUCCCAAGCUCGCGCGUGGAGAAAUAAUCAAGCUUAAUUUGGCAGAACAUGCCUUUUUAUUAUUUUCGAUGUCGGAAUCAAUCUCAAUAGAGGAGGUCGAUGAAUUGUACGGCGAAAUUAGCGGUCAAGUCCAAUCGCUGAGGAGCUGUUAUGAUGCGAAGUCGACGGAGAAUUAUUCGGAUGAAGAAUUCAGUGUGAUGAUGAUGGUGGACGGGUGUGCUUUACUGUAUUAUAUGUUUCAUGCUUGCUAUGGUGAUGAACAUGACCAAGAAAAUUCCGGUAUCAGAUAUCAGGAUCUAAGGCAUCUGCAGCGGGACGCGUUGCUGCUGGAGAACCAACUUCCCUAUAAAUUACUCCUGGAACUGGGCGAAAAGGUUCCAGGAUAUGACACUAGUGAGUGGAUGGCACUAUGCUUGGAAUUCGUUGGAGUGAUUGGGGAGGAGGAGGAGGAGGAGGCGUACUCAUUCCCGCAAAAAAUGAGGAAAUUUUGCUCCGGCCCGUUCGGCCAAAUUAUUGGCCGGAGUCUGAUGAAGAGUCGGUUAUAAACCUUAAGCCUCUUCAUCUCCUCGAUCUGUACUUAAAUAAUUGGCUAGGAGCCAAACGUCCUAGCCAAAAAAAAAGCGGCGGUGGGGAAUCAGUUAGAUAUGUGAAGGAGAAGGUUAUGGCAUCAUUUAGAAAUGUGAAGGAGCUUAUGGCCGCUGGAAUCCGCAUCAAGCCUAGCCCUACGCGUUACUUGAGGGACAUUUCUUUCACUUCAAAUGUCAUCACUGGAUGCCUCAGACUUCCUAUCAUCACUAUUGAUAACUCAACCAAGGAUUUGUUCUUUAACUUGAUAGCCUGGGAAAGGUGCUCAAGUCGUCGCCAUGACAGUCAUGACUUCAUCUCUUACCUUUGCUUCCUUGAUUCCCUCAUUGAUCAUGCUGAUGACGUUAAGGAGCUGCAGUCAGCCGGGGUACUCCAAAACAAUCUAGGCACGCAUGAACAAGUGGCUGAAUUUUUCAACACUCUGUCCGCCAAGUUUGAAUCAAACUUUCAUGCUUACAGAGAUGUGAGAGUCAAAAUUCGGAAGCACCUUAAAAGUCACCGUAACAGCAAACUGAAAAGGUGGAUGACACAAUGCCUGGACACCUACUUCGGUAGCCCCUGGACUAUCAAAGCUUGGGUUGGUGCUGCUUUGGUCCUUUUCUUUACUGCCGUCCAGACUUAUUUCACAGCCUUCUCUCAUUGAUGCAUUCAUGGCCUGCUUUCUCGCUAUCUAUUGAGUGCUUCUGCAUUUUACCUAGCCUAAAUUCAUGGACUCCAUAUAACCCUUUGAUGUGCAAAGUAAAUUAGGCAAAGAGUCAUUGGUCCCGUUUCUUUGCCAUUUCAGCCUAUUUUCUACCGUCCUUUCCGGGUUUAAAACAAGUAAAAAAAUAAAUGUAUGCUGUGAUCUUAUUUUGGUGUAUUUUGUGCUUAUGUACGCAUAAGUAAUAUUAUGUUUGAUUUAAGUAACUAAAAAUAGACAUGGGUGGACUGUUUUCUUUUUAUGUUUGGAUGCCUAUUAAUGGAUUAUAUUAGGUUGGCAAUUUUAUUUUAUUGAUGUUGUACUCCAUGUAACUUAUUUCCUCGGAUCUUAAUGGUUGGGAUCGGGCAAGUGUUUGAAGAAGUAAGAUAAAGAAAUGAAAACUUCAGAAAAGAAAAAAAAAAAAAGAACCGAAACAAAACAAUGUGAAAAAUGGAGAAAAACCAGACAGGAAUGCAGGAAAUUUUAAUAGAUGAAAGUCAUUUAUUCAUUUUUAAUUGAGAAAAAUAAAAUAUUAAUAUUUUUAUUAGAAAUUUAUUUAUCAAUUCUCUAUUAUAAAAUUUUCUUGGAUUUCAUGGAAAAUAUAUUAAAGAAAUUGACAUUAGCUGCCGGGAACUUAUCUAAAAUUCCUUUUUUUUUUGUGACAAAGAAGCUUCUGAGGAAAGGAUUUUUUUCAAAAGAAAAAUAAAGGAGGGAAGAAGGUAGGUGGUAUGGAAUAGAAGAAUGGAGAAUGGUAUGAAUGUAUUGAUACGAUUUUUAUCUUCUUGGUUGAUUGUGUAAAUAAGAUGGCUGCGUCACAGAAUUUCACGAGUAAGGGAGUAGUAUUUUUUGGAGAAGAAGAGUUUAGUAAUUUAAUUAUUUUUUAUUUAAAUAUUUUAUUUUCUUUCCAGUUUUAAAGAUGAUAUUGGAAAGUUUGACUCGGUAAUAUUAGGUUUAUAUUUGUUCAGAAUAUGUUUAGGGUUUACAACUCAUAAUUUUUGGCAAACAUUUGUCACAACAAUAAUUAGGAAACUUUUAAGAUGUAUUUAGAAGUGAAAAGUGUUUUAAAAAGUGGAAAAAUCUCCAAUAAAAGCAAGAUUGUGUUAUCUAGCUUGAUUUUUUUGUUCUUUGCUUUUCUCUGCUUUUGUUGCAGCUCUUCUGACCAAAAUACUAAUAGUUUCUAUUAAGCAAAAUAAUAAAACAGACACAAGAUGUAGAAUGACAGCACAUGAUAAGAAUCCAUUUUCAUUAAUAUUUAUAUAAAUAAAAAAUUAAUCAAAGAUUAAUAAUAUUUUAUUCUCCUAUUUUAGAAAAUAAUAUUUAUUUUAGAUAAAUCAAGAGCUAUUAAAAAUAUUUUAUUCUCUUAAUUUAGGAAAUGACAUUUGUUUCCUUAAUUUUAAGAUAUUUAUUCUUUCAUUCUUUCUAUAAUUCACAAUGUAUCGUUGUAUAAUUUUUUAAAAAGAAACAAUAAAAAAAUCGUUUUCAUUAGGAAGAAGCUCAAACUUGAGUCCUCUCCAAGAGUGGUCAAAUGCCAGAAAAGGAGUGGUUGAAUAAUAUAGUCAUGAUCAAAAUGGUUGAGAAGACGCAUAUUUCAAAUUGAGGGGUAGAGGCUUCACCCUUUCUAUGUGUUACAAUUCUUACAAAAAAAAUUCUUUUAUGUUUUUAUCGAAUCUCUAUCAAAAAAUGAUGUCUUCACCAUGUUUAAGAGUAAUCAAAUAUUAAUAAUAUUUUAUUUUCCUAAUUUAAGAAAUAAUAUUUAUUUUAAAUAAAUCAAGAGCAAUCAAAUAUUAAUAAUAUUGGGUUAAAUACACUUUACCUUCUCAACCAAUGGUAGUUCUUUUUUUCCCGCACUGUUUUGCUUCAUUUUUGUCUUUGAUAGCUAAGAAAAUUUCUAGACAAAGAAUAAAUAUUAAGUGAUGAGGUGUUUAUAUCGGUUAGGGUUUUCUUUUGAUAGUUGAAAAAAUUUUGGGAAAAAGUUUAAAUUUUAGGUGUUUAGGGUUAAGGUUUUCUUUCCAUAGUUGAGAAAUUUUAUGAAAAAAAACAGAUUUAGGUGUUUAGGUUUCCUUUUCAUAGGUGUUUAUUUAUAGUCAAUUUAGCUUUCUUAUGACAUUUUUUUUUUGUUUCUUUUCAUCAACAUUGCAUCUAUAUAUUUAUCUAAUAUGAAUUUUAUAUUAUAUGUUUGCAAAUAAACCACCUAACUAUUUUACCAUCAAUUAUGAAGGGCGAUUUAGGGGUGAUAUGAGACAUGUAUUUAAGAAUAGUGAUUAUUUGGGUGGAAAAGUGGAUUAUGUUGAUAAUUGUGACAAUAAUGUAAUGUUUUUGAUUGAGUUGGAUCAUAUAUUGUUUUUAUUAAGAUAUAAAUAUUGCAUUGAAUAUUUCUAUGCUAAUAAGAAAGUGAGAAAAUAAAAGCUAAACCUUAAUAGAAAAAACACCCAAGGGGGAGGGAGGUGAAUUGGGGUUUAAAUUUUUUGUUUUUAAGCACAAUGAAUUCAUGUAAAGGAAUCACAAAUAUAAAGAAAUAAGGAUAAAAAAAACUUAGAUUUUAUAGUGGUUCGGCACCCUUUACUUAUGUCAACUCUCCUCAAGUUCCUAAUCGAGUGAAGGUUCCAUUAUACUUGAAGCUUCAACCAAGCGUCCAACCUUUCAGACCUAGAUUUUGGCUCUAAUGAGUUAUUACACAAUUCGUUCAAAUUUCUACUCACUUGAAGCUUCUAACACUCAAAUAAGAAGUUUAAAUCUGUCAACUAAGCUCAAUAAGAGAUCAAAUACAACUAAAAUACUAGGAUAAAUAACAAUGGUGCACUAAAAGAAUAUGCAACCGAGGAUUUUAAUGCAUCAAGGAGAGAAUGAGAGCUUUUGAAUCAAGAACUGGUAAUUAAACAAAUAAAUGUAGGUGUUCUUAUCUUCGUUAAUGAAAGAAAGCUCCCAAUUUAUAGGUUUCUAGCCUUGGGAGCCAAAAUAUCAAAAAAUAGCCUCGACUGGUCAAGCUAUAGGUCGAGCGGUUGACUAGCCAUUGGGCAAUUAAUGCAUGACCGGUGACUAAUAGGCCUCAACUAGACCUUGAUCGGGCCAUGACUGGGAAGGCAUACCCCUCGAUUAGGAAUGCAACACUACUAGAAGAGAGAGAAGAUUUUUUACAUCUCUCGAUCGAUCCUCGACCGGGAAGACAUAAACGGUCGAUCGGUACUUUAACCGAUUGAUCAGUGCCUUGACCAGUUUACCUUUUUUGGCCUAAAAAUCUGUCAUUUUUUUUUGUUGUUUUUGCUUUUAACACCUAGGUAAGGUCUCUAGUCACCGAGUAUGUCAAUUUUCAAACAAUUUGCUUAAGGUUCAUUUGAUAAAACUCGGAUUUUAAUCAAAUGUGUCUUUAAUGCACUUAGGAUAUGGAAAUCCUAAGUGUACCCAUGUAUUCAACUUACAAACGGUUCCUAAGAUUAAAAUAUCUUCUUUGUGCCUUGAUCUUGAAUCUAUUGGAUCCUUUGAUGAAUUUCUCGGAUCUUGAUCUUGAAUCUUGAAUCUAAAUAGACAGGACUAAGGUGGUGUUUGUUUUUUUUACUUAAUUCUAAAUAGAACCUUAAUACUUAAUAGCAUUAAAUAUUAGGUUAUUUGUUUUUAUAGUAUUUUAUUUCUAUUAAGUAUUAAAAAGUAAAAAAAAAAAACCAAUAUGUUAUUUUUUUUAUUUAGAAAAAGUUACAUAUUUUGGCUUUUUUUAUUUAGUAAAAAGUUUAUAAUAAGUCAUGAAAAAAUAAAAAAACAAACAACCUAAAUUCUAAAACUAAAUUGCUUUCAGCAAAAAGCCAAAAAAACAAACACCACUUAAGCCUCUUUGUUGUCAUUUUUUUCAACCUUGGUGCCAAUCAUAUGUCCGGUAUUAAUUUACUCAUGAUGUGAUCUUGAUUCAUUGAUUACGAUAUAGUUUAUUUGUGGUAGAAUUUUGGGAAAAUUAAUAUAAAAAAUAUCUAAGAAAUGAAUUUGAUGAUCAAAUAAUCCAAGAAAAAAAGCAUCAAAUUUAUGAUAUGUAUAAUGAAAGAUGCAUUUAAGUAAAUUAAUAAGCUCGAACCCUUCCCAAAACCAAGGAGACACGCAUUAGCCUAUUUUAUGUGCUUCACUUGCUGUAUAUUAGUAGGUGUAUGAAUAGAUUAAUCUUUCUGAAGAGAAAAAAGAAGAAGAAGAAGACUUGAGUGCUCCUUUUUAAAUGUUAAAUGACCUUCCCUUUGGAUAUCAUUAUAUCAACAUGGACUAGCUGGCAGCAGCCUGUUGCCUACUCGAUUGGAAUUAUGGAGCUUGCAUGCAAUGAGCUGGUGAUUCAUAUUUCACAGGUGGGAUGUAACUUUUUUCUUUUUUUAAUAAAUGAUAAGAAUAUCUCACAUAUAAAAUAAAAAGAGAAAAUUAACCUAUACGUGGAAACUAUUCUCAAUAAUAAUUUUUUGUUUUUUAAACAUAAAAAAAUAUGAAAACUCAGUUGCCUGUAAUUAUUUCCAAAAUAGGUUGUAAUAAUACCUUUUAAUUAUUUUUGGUUAAUUUUAUUUAUUAUUUGGAGCUAUUUUUAAAUGUAAUUUUAGAAAUAUGAAAAAUGAUUGAAAUUUAUAAAAGGGUACAUAAAAGAAUAUUUUGAAAACAUACAAUAUUCAAAAUUACCAAAGAAGCUUUUAUUAUACCAUAGUAAAAUUAUUUUUGAUAAUUAAUCUCAAAAACCAUCUUUUUAUAACUAUUUUGAAAAGUAUUCUCUAACAAACCUUAUGCUUUUAGGGAGGAAUGGUAAUAUUUUAAUAAAAAUUAUAAAAUAUGAAUAUUAAUAUUUUAGUAAAGUUAUAAAUUAUAUUUUUUUUUGUUAAAAACAAAUAAAUUUUUUUAGAAAAUGAUAAUAGUUAAUAAUAUCUUAUUUAAACUGAAUUAUGAAAAUAAGUAUAAUUUAUUUUUCAAAAUAUGCAAUAAAUGAAUCAAGUUUUGAUCACGUACACAUAUUCAUUCCCUAAUUACAAGUAUUCUGAACCAGUUUAGUCCCACAAAAAUUUUAUAAUAAUUAGCAUAAUUUUUUAGUUUUAAUUUAUUUUUAAAAUAAAAGCAUGGAACUAGAUUGAAUCUUUCUUGGGAAUCCCCAGCAAUGCUGGAGGUUGUGGAGUGGCGGGAAAUCAGGGUCAAUUUCAAUCAAACGUGUAUCUCUUUGUAUGCUUAAAAUAAAAAAAAAAAUCUCGAUAAAUCAUCUCUUUCAAUUACAAAUAACUGUUAUUGAAUUAUUAUUAUUAUUAUUAUUCGUAAUAUAAUUCAAUUAACUAUUUGCUGGACACCUACAGUGUUACACCCGACUAAGGGGAAAAGAAAAAGAUCAUACAAGUUAAAGUUAAUUAAUUUGACAAAAAAAAAAAAAAAUCAAAUUUGUUUCAUCAUCUCAAGAUGUCAAGGGUGAAGACUACUACUAUGCGCCAAAACUCAUUUCUUUGGGUCCUUACCACCAUGGCAAGCCCACCUCAAGGAUGGAGAAACGCUCAAGCUUAAAUUGGCAGAAGCCUACAUCCAAGAAUGUGUGCCAAGAGUGGAUGAAAUUUACCACACAAUUAGCGAAAGCAUUAGUGAGCUGAGGGGCUGUUAUAAUGCGGAGUCCACAAAGAAAUAUAAGGAUGACGAAUUAACCAUCAUGAUGCUGGUGGACGGGUGUGCUUUACUCUGUUACAUUUUAUGCGUUUGCUUAGGUUAUGGCCAUGAAGAUUUCAAUAUCAGAUAUCAGAAAAUGAAAAUUUGGAAGGUCCUUCGUCAUCGGAAACUGAAAUUGGCCGGAGGCUGGGUAGAGCAUCAGUUAGAGAUGUGAAGGAGGUUAUGGCAUCAUUUAGAAAUGUGAAGGAGCUGAUGGACGCUGGAAUCCGCAUCAAGCGCAAUCCUACACGUCACUUGAGGGACAUUUCUUUCCGUUCAAAUGGGAUCACCGCAUGCCUGAGAAUUCCUCCCAUCACCAUUGAUAACUCAACCAAGGCUAUGUUCUUGAACUUGAUAGCCUAUGAAAUGAGCUCAGACGUCGACCAUGACUUCAUCUCUUACCUUCGCUUCCUUGAUUCCCUCAUUGAUCAUGCUGAUGACGUUAAGGAGCUGCAGUCCAUCGGGAUACCAAAACAAUCUAGGAACCCACGAAGAAGUGGCUCAAUUCUUCAACACCGUGUCCGCCAACUUGGAAUCCAACUUUCAUGCUUACAAAGACGUGAGAGUGAAAAUUCGGAAGCACCUUCAGAGUCACUAUAACAGCAAACUGACGAUGUGGAUGACACAAUGCCUGGACACCUAUUUCGGUAGCCCCUGGACAAUCAUAGCUUGGGUUGGUGCAGCUUUGGCCCUAUUCCUUACUUUCGUCCAGACUUACUUCUCAGUCUUCCCUCAUUGAUGCAUGCCUGUCCUGUUUUCAACUAUCACCAUCUCAAUUAAGGUAGUAUCCACUCCAAAUUUCCUUGUUUUUCUCGCUAUCUGCAUUUUACCUAGUCCAUGUAAAUUAAGCAAAGACUCAUUGGCUUCAUGCGCUUUUGACCUUACCUCUUUUGUGUUUUUGGUUUCAGCCUAUUUUCUACAUUGCUUUCCGUGCUUAAAUUAAGUAAAGAAUGACUAUGUAGUGUGACCUUAGUUUGGUGUAUUAUGUGCUAUCGCAAGCAUGUGCUAUGCUUGUAUAUGCAUCAUCAGCAGUAUUAUGUUUGAUUUAAGUACGUAAAUAAAGAUAGAUAUAGGUGGAAUAUUUUUUUUCUAUGUUUAUAUUCCUGUUAAUGUAUUAUAUAUAUAUGUUAGGUCGGCAAUUUUUUUUAUCUCAUACCAUUUUUAAUUAAAUCAUUCUUAAACUAUAGUUACUAAGCCAAAAAUUAUAAUGCUCUAGAAAUAUAAUCAAUCUCAUUGUCGAAUUUUUCUAAAAUAAUCUCAGAAUAAGCCCAAUAUCUCUAAUAAUAUGUUAUUUAAGGCACAUAAUAUUCCAAAAAGAAAAUUCUGCAAAAGAAAAAGAAAUUUGUUGAGAAGUGGUUUAUUUUAGUUAAUAUGAACAAAACAACAUUUUGUCCGAUGGAAAUUUGACUAAUGCUUGUAAGUACCGAUUUGUAAAUAUUUGUGGGGGGAGUUUCUUUUGACAACCGAUGGAGCAAUUCAGGUCAUGCAACACUUAUUUGACAACAUUCUAAAAUAAUGUUGUUAAAAAUAUUUAAGAAUGGUUCUGAAAAUAUAUUUUACUUGUUCUUAGGAAUAAAAUUCAACUUAUUUGACAAUAUUCUUAAGAAUAUGCUUUAUCUGUUUUUACUUUUUAGGAAUAAAAUUCCAUUUAAGAAUUAAAAUAUGAAAUACGGCUUUUCAGCCUUGUCCUUCACAAAGGCAUGCGCAGUGGACCUAUAAUGCAAGUUCUUUUUUGUUCUUUUUUAAAACACUUGCAUAAUUUUCUUAAAGAUUAUUUUCAAAAAAUUUUAAAUUUGAUGUAAUAAUUCAUAAAAUUUUCCUUGCAUGUAAUGAAAAACUCGGAUUAUUUGUAUGUUAUAAAAGUUAAAAUUUAUUUAUUUUUAAAUUAAUUUUAUAUCAAAUAUUAUUAAUUAUUAUUAUUUUAAAAAAAUUAUUUUUUUUAAAAUAAAUAAAUUAUACUUUUAUAAAAAUAUUAAUAUCCAUAUUUUUAUAAUAUAUAUUAAAAUAUUUUUUUUAUGAAAAAUAUAAUUUUAUGACUUUGUUAUAAUAUUACUAUUCAUAUUUUACUAGACAUUAUUUUGUUUUAUUUAUUUGUGAUAACAAAAAAUAUUUUCAUUUUUAAUCAAACUUAAAUUAAAUCUAAUUAAUAUGGUAUAAAUUGAAUUUAUAAUAUUUUUACAAAAUAAAAAUGGAAAAAAAAAAUAAAACCAAUUUAUUCAAAUAAACUUUUUUUUUCUAAUUAUUUUUAAAAACAAUUUAUCUAACACUCUUAUUUUUAUAAAAUGUUAAAAAUAUAUAUAUAUAUUUAAAAAAAAAAAAAAAAAAAAACAUGUUCACACAAAAUGUGCUAUUUUUUACCAUUCAGGUGUUAUCCCUUACUGAUGUAGAUAAAAGAUACGCAUAAAAUUAAAAAUGAUUUUUGGACUGUUGCUAUUUUGAUGGGUUUUUUUUUUUUCAAAUGAAACAUGCUUUUUCCCUUUUUGCCCCCUCUCUGAUUGAGGGUUUGUUUUAUUUCACUCUCAUGGAGAGCCCUCUCCAUCUGCCAGCCAACCUGACAAGUCUGAACUGCUCUUUAAGUCUUUCAUUAAUGACACAACUAACUCUCACAGCAGGCGUUGUAAUUGAUAGAAUCAAGGACAGGACAUGGAGUAAUUUGUUUUACUCCAUUUGCCAACUAAUCUGACAAGUUUGAAACACUCUUUAAUGCUUUGUUUUUCGUCUUUCAAUCAUGACACACCCAACUCUCCAUCAGGCGUUGCAAUUGAUACAAUCAAAGAUGGGACAGGUAUUCAUAGAGGCUUCUUUUUUUCUACACCUCUAUAACCACCCAUUUAAGAUAACGUAUAUUUAUCAAAAUCAAACAUUUACUACAUAAUUGUUUGCGAAACCAUUGAACACUACGAUUUAUUACAUUAUAAAUAUAAACAAGCCAGAUGAACCCAGUCACUCACAACGUAGCCUAUCAUAAUUUCUAUUUUUUUUUUCAUUUGAAUUAAAUUAAAAUUUUCAUAAUAUAAUACUUUAAUUUUUAUUUUGAAAUAAUAGGUGUUGCAUAAUUUGUUUUACUUUACUGGUAGGUUAUGAAUUAUUAUUAUUAUUAAUAUAAUUCAAGUAACAUUUUGUUGGAAACUCAAAGCUUUAUAUGUGACCAGGUAGGAAAAAAAAACACCUAUGAAGACCUAAAAUUAAUGUAAUACCAAUUCAAAUUAUAUAGACAAGUGAGAGGUAAGUGAAAACAAUAAAUAAGAAGAAUAAAAAAGGUGAAAAAUAACAAAUAAAAAAAAUAAGAGAGAGAGUUGAUUAAAUUUUAAAUUAAUAGUGGUUAAGUAUAGUUAACCUAUAUAUUAAGGGAUGUGAGUAAAAUUAAUUUUUUAAAAGUAUUGAAUGUAACCAAAAACAUAAAUAAGGUACUAGAAGUUUUGAAUAAACGUGGAUGUGAGAAAUGGUAUAUUCAUCAAAAUCAAAUAAAAUUGUUGAGAAAACUAUUAAACUAUGAUAUAUAUAUAAUGUAUUAGAAUCUUAUAAAAAUUAUAAGGACCUAUUUAUUAACAAAGUAUCUUACCAUAAAUUUUUAUUUAAAUUAAAUCAAAAGAUUUGACAAUAAUGACUUGCUAUUUGUUGGGCCUAUGUGUGCAGAUCACAGGAUUAUUCGUCAUUGGAUGUUGUUUGGUCACUGCAGUUUACACAUUUGAGGAUGUUUGGUUUAGACAAGUGUCACUGACAGAUUUGUAAACUUAUUUUUUAAAGUAUUUAGGGUUUAUUUAAUCUAUAUUUUGCACAAAAUUGGCAAAGAGAAGAGAUUGUUAAUUAGUGCAUUAGACUACUUGUUUAGAUUUACAAUUUUAUUCAAUUCAUUCUAACUUAAAACUUUUCUAGGCUACUAUGUUUUAUUCUUUAUUGAAGAUUUAAAAUUACUACGUGAUCAAUCGAGAUAAUACAGGCAAGUGUAAAGAUGUACAAGAAAUGUUAAUUGAGAUUGGUUAUAGUGUGGAAUGGAUAGGCUUUUGAUUUUAAAAUUAUGAAAAAGGUGAGUGUUUUUCGAUCCCAAUGCUCAAGCACUCCUUAGACUACUUAAAUGCUUAAGCCAAAAUUAUGUGAAAUUCUAAAAUAUUGUUUUUUUCAUAUUUUGAAUAAUGUUUUUUUUUUUGGGGGGAAAUUUUAGAUGUCAUCCCCCUCUUUUUUUUUCUCUUUAAUGCAAACUUUGAAAAAAAAAAUUAGUCCGAGUAUUAGUUUUUCCACAUUCUAAACUAUUAGAAGUUUGUUUUCUCAUUCAUGGGUUUGUGAGAGACAUCUACAUCCAUUUUAGGCAUUGAAGUGGUCCUCUGAGUGCAUGUGUGGUGCUGCGUUAUAAACGUGAAAACUAAUAUAUGUAUUAAGGAGUAAGACUUAGGAAUAACAUCGAAAAUCUAUAUACCUUUUGUUUUAAUAGUGGAUUUGUACUUUGCAUAUUUUGACCUUGUGAUUUUUACACCUGCAUAAUCUUUAAAAGACUGGGAGUCAUUUCCAAGUAAAUGUUGUUAUAUCUCCAACAUAAUCUUUGAAAGACUGUAGGAGUAGUUUCCACGUAAAUGUUCUUAUAUCUUCUAUAAUUGAUUUUUCUUUACAUUUCAUAAAUAUUAAAAAGGAAAUAAAAAUAAAUAUUUUAGGAUAAAAAGAAGUAAAUACCUGUUGACUUCCUUUAGUUUCAUAACCAAGAUCUACAAACCAUGAGUGUUGCAUGUGAAAAGAAAUAUUUAUUUAUUUUGGGCUAAAAUAAAUAUUUUUCUUUCAAUUUAUUUUACUGUAAUGGUAGGUGGUGAAUUUAUUUUAGUUCACAUGUGAAAAGAAUGGGCCCUCAUCUGCCAUUUUGGACAAGUUGGUUCACUGAUGUGAUGGUAAGGUCAAUUUGUAGUGGAAAGAUUAGCUUAAUUUUGAGUACUCAUUAAAAGGUGGAGAUAAUCUUGUUCUAGACAAAAAUUAUUCAAUCAGUCCAAGAUUUUUUUAAUCUUUAUAAAAAUAAAUAAAAUCUAGAUAUGGAAUCAGUCACGCGGAUGCUAUAAAAUCUGAAAAUAUACCAAAUCAAUGUCACAUCCCAUUCAAAUUUUGAAAAAGAUAUAAGAUGAAUUAAUAAAAUUAUAUGAAAGAAUGUAAAAUACAUGUUGAAAAGUGAAAACGAAUAAUUACAUUGAAUCAAAGAUAAAAAUUGAAAACUGAUGCGUAGAAAGAAAAUGACCUGAUGACUUGGGGAAAGAAAAGGGAUUCAAGUCAACUUUUGACACAAAAAAAAGAAAAAAAAAAAGAAAGUAUAGAGAUAUCUAGUAGUACUAUCUCCAGCUAUCUCAUUCUCAUACUAACAAUGGCUGGGAAGGAGGUGGUGGUUUCAGUGGAGGAGCAGCAGGAAGUAGCUACUAAACAGUCUGAAAAAUCUGCGGAUGGCAGUGAUCAUUCGAGAACCUUGGCUGACUUAAAAUCCAAAUUUCGCCGAUCUCCAUCAUCACCGUCAAGUCCAAAGCUACAAUGUCCCAAGGUUCCAAAGAAGUUGCGAUCAGCUGUCAAGGAGGAAGACUACUAUGCCCCAAAACUCAUUUCUUUGGGUCCUUACUACCAUGGCGAAUCCCACCUCGCGAAUGGAGAAACGCUCAAGCUUAAAUUGGCAGAAGCCUACAUCCUAGAAAUUACUGUGUCACAAGGGAACUCAGUCGAGCAGUCAGUCGAUAACAUUUACCACAUGAUCAGAGAUCGCAUUGAUGAGCUGAAAGGUUGUUAUGACUAUCAGGAGUCCAGAAAGAACUAUAAGGAAGACGAAUUCACUGCGAUGAUGCUGGUGGACGGGUGUGCUUUACUGUGGUACAUUUUAUGUGUUUGCUUAGGUGGUGACCAUGAAGAUUACGAUAUCAGAUAUCAGGAUCUAAGCCUUCUUCACCAGGAUGCGUUGCUGCUGGAGAACCAACUUCCCUAUCAAUUACUACAGGAGCUGAUGAAGAUGGCGGUCCCAGAAUCGGCCAAUAAAGCUUGGACAGUACUAUUCCAGGAAUUCUUUGGCAUGAUCGACGAGUCAUUCUUCCAAGAAUUCUUUGGUAUAAAGGAGAAGGAGUACUCAUUCCUGCCAAAAAUGAAGAAUUAUUGCUGCCGCAUGUUCCUGGCAAUCAUCCAAAUUAUUAACAGGAAACCAAAGCUGAAACCUGGUGAAGAGUCGGAGCCGAAACCUGAUGUAGAGUCGAAGAUGAAACCUGAUGUAGAUUCGAAGAUGAAACCUGAUGAAGAGUCGAAGCCGAAACCUGAUAAAGAGUCGAGGCUUUGUCAUCAUCUCCUCGAUCUCUACCGAAGAAAUUUCCUAGGCGAUGAACGUUCUAGCGCAACGCAUUCGGAGGCUGAAAAUGGCAAGAAGGGUCCGGGAUCAGUUGGAGAUGUGAAGGAGCAGGUUAUGGCAUCAUUUAGAAAUGUGAAGGAGCUUAUGGCCGCUGGAAUCCGCAUCAAGCGCAGUCCUACACGUCACUUGAGGGACAUUUCUUUCCGUUCAAAUGGGAUCACCGCAUGCCUGAGAAUUCCUCCCAUCACCAUUGAUAACUCAACCAAGGCUAUGUUCUUGAACUUGAUAGCCUAUGAAAUGAGCUCAGACGUCGACCAUGACUUCAUCUCUUACCUUCGCUUCCUUGAUUCCCUCAUUGAUCAUGCUGAUGACGUUAAGGAGCUGCAGUCCAUCGGGAUACUCCAAAACAAUCUAGGAACCCACGAAGAAGUGGCUCAAUUCUUCAACACGGUGUCCGCCAACUUGGAAUCCAACUUUCAUGCUUACAAAGAUGUGAGAGUGAGAAUUCGGAAGCACCUUAAAAAUCACUACAACAGCAAACUGAAAAUGUGGAUGACACAAUGCCUGGAUACCUACUUCGGUAGCCCCUGGACUAUCAUUGCUUGGGUUGGUGCUGCUUUGGCCCUUUUCUUUACUGCCGUCCAGACUUACUUCUCAGUCUUCCCUCAUUGAUGCAUGCAUGCCCUGUUUUCUCGCUAUCUAUUGAGUGCUUCUGCAUUUUACCUAGCCCAAAUUCAUGGACUCCAUAUAACUCUUUGAUGGUUGCAAAGUAAAUUAGGCAAAGAGUCAUUGGUCUCGUUUCUUUUCCAUUUCAGCCUAUUUUCUACCUUCCUUUCCGUGUGUAAAAAAGUAAAGAAGGAAUGUGUGGUGUGAUCUUAUUUUGGUGUAUUUUGUGC
rnacentral:lncRNA from 1 species